CUGGUUGAAUGGCAACAAUUGUUGCUGCUGCAGGAAGGCGGCAGCCAAUGGGUUAGCAGCUACCACUGGAUUAACACGAAGCAGCUGUUGCUGUUGCAGGUAUGCGGCGGUGUUCGUCACAGCGAGUUGGUUGAAUGGAAGCAGCUGUUGUUGUUGCAAGUAGGCGGCCGGGUUCACCAAGGCUAGUUGACUGAGUGCUGGUAGGAUUUGUUGCAGCUGCUGUUGUUGCAAGUAUGCAGCAGCAUUGGCCGCAACCAGUGGGUUGUAUGCAAGUUGUUGUUGUUGCAGGUAGGCGGCAGGGUUUGCCAUGGCUACCUGACUGAUCACUGGCAGGACCUGUUGUAGUUGUUGCUGCUGGUAUGCAGCAUUGUUCACCAGAGCCAGUGGGUUGGAUGCAAGUAGUUGUUGUUGCAAGUAGGCCACAGGGUUUGCCAGGGCUAGUUGACUGAGUGCUGGUAGGAACUGUUGUUGCUGCUGCUGCGCUGCGAUGGUCUGUACGGUUAGAUGAGCCGAGGAUUGUUGUUGCAAUUGGGCAAAUGGUUGUUGUAAGAUGCUAUUCGCAAGCGCCUGCUGUAGUCUGUAAGCCUGCAGAGCCGGGUGUUCGAAUCCCACAAGAGUAAGUGGUGGGAGGAACUGUGAAAUAAUAGCAUUAGGAGCAAGUGAGCACUGCGGAAUAAUGACUGCAGUUGUUGUGCUCACUGAAAGAGCAAGGAGCGCAAGGAGGACAAAUAUCUUGGUAGCCAUUGUUGUGAGGACGUUGAUGUUUGUUUCCCUUGGUAUGUUUCUGAUUGCUCUCAGUGUUAUGGGCGAUGGAUUAACUACUGAUCUAGGGCCUAUAUAUUUAUACAAGUGAGGGCUCCUGUUUAGAUUUUGCCUUUUUUCAAACAACAGAUAAGCUAUAGAUGACAUGGCACCUAGUCAAUUUUGACAUUUAGUUAUUAUUUUUGUUGGAUUAUAUGGUCUAUGUAUGAAAGACAAUUUCCACUAAGUACAAGGAACACUUGUUGUUUUCUAUUGGAGGUUUUUUGAUACAAUAGAAAUAACAUGCAUGAUCACUUCACCUUUACACAUGUUACAACCUUAGCCACAUCAUAAAUGUCCACUUUAUAUACAUGGCGAGUAUGUAAAGUUAUGACUUGCUCAUGUGGAUCAAAGCCUUUAUCAACGGACGUUCUUGUAGUAUUGUACUCAUGGUUGAAGAUAGCACGAUAGUUAGGUGAGAAGUUACUCAAUGAAUAAACAAAUGCUAAAGAUUGAGACUAAAUAAAAAUACCAUUAUGUACACAUAGAAUUUAUAAAUUUAGAAUGCUUAUAGCCAAACAUGACAGUUGCCACACACUCCUUGUGUUCCUUGUUACAAUUUAUUUUUGAAUUAUCUAUACCCAACAUUGUAUAACUAUCAAAAAGUUUUAAAUAAACUUUGACGAGAAUAAGCGCUAUCAUGACAUUAUCAUUAAUAAUUCAAUGAAAAAACUUGAUGUUCAAAAUUUUAGAUAGAUUUAGUAGGAAGUAAGUGAAAGUUAGGGGAGUUAGCGAAAACCUAGAGCAUGUAAUAAACUAGAGUGGAGGGAGUAUUUGUUGAACUAUAGCUAUUGAUUCGAAUUAAUUUACAUCAAGCUUGUCAAAGUUAACUUGUUUCCGUAUAGAAUAGACAAUGACAAAUUUUAUGCAACUUUUCUUCCUUCCACUACCUACAAUACGAGUCUAAGCUUCAAUAUACAUACGAAGAGGACCGUGGCCAUCCUCCUAGCUAUCUUACAUAUAAGUUAGAGCUCAAAGGCAUAGAUUCUUUCAAGCAGAAAGACAAUAUGAUCAAUAAUCUAAACGGUUCUCAGCAAUGCUGCAAAAACCUCAAGAAACGCUUGGCUAAGAUGGGGUCAGGAUUGAUUUUAUAAUACUCCCCCUUUAGUACCACAAUAUGCACAAGUCUCAUUAAAAACUCACCCAAAAACCUAGUGGGGAAAAAAGGCUUCAAAGAAAAGAGAACAUUAUAUCCAUAAUUGGGCAAAUAGUUGUUGCAAGAUGCUAUUUGAAAACGCCUGCUGUAGUCUAUAGGCCUACAGAGCUGGAUGUUCGAAUCCCACAGGAGUAAGUGCUGGGAGGAACUGUGGAAUAAAAACAUUAGGAGCAAGUGAGGACUCGGCAAAUAUCUCGGUAGCCAUUGUUGUUUGAACGUUGCUAGUUCAUUUUAUUUGGUAUGUUUCUAAUGCUCUCAAUGUUGUGGCGAUGGGAUAACUACUGAUUCAAGGCCUAUUUACAAAAAUAAGGGCUCAUGUAUAUCUAUAUAGAUAUUGACAUUUGUCAAACAACAGAUAAGCUAUAUAUGAUAUGACACCUAGUCAAUUUUGACAUUUAGUUAUCAAUUAGGCUGGUAAGCUUAAUCAUUCGGACUAGGCAAAAAUUUUGGGCUAAGGAUAUUCAAUAUGGCUAAAAUAUUUAAAAAGAACAACUUCAAUUCACUCCUAAUCCAAACGAGGGAAAAACCUUUUCAUGGACUUUGUUACUAUUCCUUUUUUAUUUAUGAAGGAAUUAAUUGUAUGACUGUGAAAUAAUGACUGCAGUUGUUGUGCUCACUGAAAGAGCAAGGAGCGCAAGGAGGGCAAAUAUCAUGGGCUCCAAAUAUUUCCUUACAUGUUGUAUUAUAGGGUCAUGCACAAUUUGGGUUCUAGCAAAAAACAUAUGCACCAAAUAUUUACUAAAAACAAUAACUAAGAGGUAAGACUUCGCGCGAACAACUUUGCACACACAUAUAGGUUUACUCAUGAACUUAUAUUAUGUUUUGCUUGGUAUAUGUGCACCUGAUUUGAGUGUUCACGGUCAAAGCAUAUGUGCCAAUCACUUUCUCAAAAGAACAUAUCACAGAUUUAAGUACUCAACUACAAGCACGUACAGUCACAUCUAUCUUAUAAACACACAAGCACACAUCCAAACAAGAACAUUCAAGCGGUUCGAGCUGGCACAUCUUUGGCUUGGUGAAGUAUGCGGUAUUGUCUACAUAUUAACCAAGCAUGUAUCUUUAAUUUUGAUUUGAUGUUUUCAAAUGAAUAUACAAAGAACACUCUUAAGAAAUUGACUCAAAUUAAUUCUCAAACAAUAUAUUGAUUAUUUAUUGGAAGUUGCACACGCCGAUAUAUAUGAGACCUUUGUUAUGAAGUACAACUCAUAUGUAAUCUAGAAGAUGGCACUUCCAACGAUGGGUUGCUGCCAUGAAAAGGCAGGGUUCAUCAAAGAUAUCUGGUUGAAUGGCAACAAUUGUUGCUGCUGCAGGAAGGCGGCAGCCAAUGGGUUAGCAGCUACCACUGGAUUAACACGAAGCAGCUGUUGUUGUUGCAGGUAUGCGGCGGUGUUCGUCACAGCGAGUUGGUUGAAUGGAAGCAGCUGUUGUUGUUGCAAGUAGGCGGCCGGGUUCACCAAGGCUAGUUGACUGAGUGCUGGUAGGAUUUGUUGCAGCUGCUGUUGUUGCAAGUAUGCAGCAGCAUUGGCCGCAACCAGUGGGUUGUAUGCAAGUUGUUGUUGUUGCAGGUAGGCGGCAGGGUUUGCCAUGGCUACCUGACUGAUCACUGGCAGGACCUGUUGUAGUUGUUGCUGCUGGUAUGCAGCAUUGUUCACCAGAGCCAGUGGGUUGGAUGCAAGUAGUUGUUGUUGCAAGUAGGCCACAGGGUUUGCCAGGGCUAGUUGACUGAGUGCUGGUAGGAACUGUUGCUGCUGCUGCUGCGCUGCGAUGGUCUGUACGGUUAGAUGAGCCGAGGAUUGUUGUUGCAAUUGGGCAAAUGGUUGUUGUAAGAUGCUAUUCGCAAGCGCCUGCUGUAGUCUGUAAGCCUGCAGAGCCGGGUGUUCGAAUCCCACAAGAGUAAGUGGUGGGAGGAACUGUGAAAUAAUAGCAUUAGGAGCAAGUGAGCACUGCGGAAUAAUGACUGCAGUUGUUGUGCUCACUGAAAGAGCAAGGAGCGCAAGGAGGACAAAUAUCUUGGUAGCCAUUGUUGUGAGGACGUUGAUGUUUGUUUCCCUUGGUAUGUUUCUGAUUGCUCUCAGUGUUAUGGGCGAUGGAUUAACUACUGAUCUAGGGCCUAUAUAUUUAUACAAGUGAGGGCUCCUGUUUAGAUUUUGCCUUUUUUCAAACAACAGAUAAGCUAUAGAUGACAUGGCACCUAGUCAAUUUUGACAUUUAGUUAUUAUUUUUGUUGGAUUAUAUGGUCUAUGUAUGAAAGACAAUUUCCACUAAGUACAAGGAACACUUGUUGUUUUCUAUUGGAGUUUUUUUUGAUACAAUAGAAAUAACAUGCAUGAUCACUUCACCUUUACACAUGUUACAACCUUAGCCACAUCAUAAAUGUCCACUUUAUAUACAUGGCGAGUAUGUAAAGUUAUGACUUGCUCAUGUGGAUCAAAGCCUUUAUCAAUGGACGUUCUUGUAGUAUUGUACUCAUGGUUGAAGAUAGCACGGUAGUUAGGUGAGAAGUUACUCAAUGAAUAAACAAAUGCUAAAGAUUGAGACUAAAUAAAAAUACCCUUAUGUACACAUAGAAUUUAUAAAUUUAGAAUGCUUAUAGCCAAACAUGACAGUUGCCACACACUCCCUGUGUUCCUUGUUACAAUUUAUUUUUGAAUUAUCUAUACCCAACAUUGUAUAACUAUCAAAAAGUUUUAAAUAAACUUUGACGAGAAUAAGCGCUAUCAUGACAUUAUCAUUAAUAAUUCAAUGAAAAAACUUGAUGUUCAAAAUUUUAGAUAGAUUUAGUAAGAAGUAAGUGAAAGUUAGGGGAGUUAGCGAAAACCUAGAGCAUGUAAUAAACUAGAGUGGAGGGAGUAUUUGUUGAACUAUAGCUAUUGAUUCGAAUUAAUUUACAUCAAGCUUGUCAAAGUUAACUUGUUUCCAUAUAGAAUAGACAAUGACAAAUUUUAUGCAACUUUUCUUCCUUCCACUACCUACAAUACGAGUCUAAGCUUCAAUAUACAUACGAAGAGGACCGUGGCCAUCCUCCUAGCUAUCUUACAUAUAAGUUAGAGCUCAAAGGCAUAGAUUCUUUCAAGCAGAAAGACAAUAUGAUCAAUAAUCUCAACGGUUCUCACCAAUGCUGCAAAAACCUCAAGAAACGCUUGGCUAAGAUGGGGUCAGGAUUGAUUUUAUAAUACUCCCCCUUUAGUACCACAAUAUGCACAAGUCUCAUUAAAAACUCACCCAAAAACCUAGUGGGGAAAAAAGGCUUCAAAGAAAAGAGAACAUUAUAUCCAUAAUUGGGCAAAUAGUUGUUGCAAGAUGCUAUUUGAAAACGCCUGCUGUAGUCUAUAGGCCUACAGAGCUGGAUGUUCGAAUCCCAUAGGAGUAAGUGCUGGGAGGAACUGUGGAAUAAAAACAUUAGGAGCAAGUGAGCACUCGGCAAAUAUCUCGGUAGCCAUUGUUGUUUGAACGUUGCUAGUUCAUUUUAUUUGGUAUGUUUCUAAUGCUCUCAAUGUUGUGGCGAUGGGAUAACUACUGAUUCAAGGCCUAUUUACAAAAAUAAGGGCUCAUGUAUAUCUAUUUAGAUAUUGACAUUUGUCAAACAACAGAUAAGCUAUAUAUGAUAUGGCACUUAGUCAAUUUUGACAUUUAGUUAUCAAUUAGGCUGGUAAGCUUAAUCAUUCGGACUAGGCAAAAAUUUUGGGCUAAGGAUAUUCAAUAUGGCUAAAAUAUUUAAAAAGAACAACUUCAAUUCACUCCUAAUCCAAACGAGGGAAAAACCUUUUCAUGGACUUUGUUACUAUUCCUUUUUUAUUUAUGAAGAAAUUAAUUGUAUGACUGUGAAAUAAUGACUGCAGUUGUUGUGCUCACUGAAAGAGCAAGGAGCGCAAGGAGGGCAAAUAUCAUGGGCUCCAAAUAUUUCCUUACAUGUUGUAUUAUAGGGUCAUGCACAAUUUGGGUUCUAGCAAAAAACAUAUGCACCAAAUUUUUACUAAAAACAAUAACUAAGAGGUAAGACUUCGCGCGAACAACUUUGCACACACAUAUAGGUUUACUCAUGAACUUAUAUUAUGUUUUGCUUGGUAUAUGUGCACCUGAUUUGAGUGUUCACGGUCAAAGCAUAUGUGCCAAUCACUUUCUCAAAAGAACAUAUCACAGAUUUAAGUACUCAACUACAAGCACGUACAGUCACAUCUAUCUUAUAAACACACAAGCACACAUCCAAACAAGAACAUUCAAGCGGUUCGAGCUUGCACAUCUUUGGCUUGGUGAAGUAUGCGGUAUUGUCUACAUAUUAACCAAGCAUGUAUCUUUAAUUUUGAUUUGAUGUUUUCAAAUGAAUAUACAAAGAACACUCUUAAGAAAUUGACUCAAAUUAAUUCUCAAACAAUAUAUUGAUUAUUUAUUGGAAGUUGCACACGCCGAUAUAUAUGAGACCUUUGUUAUGAAGUACAACUCAUAUGUAAUCUAGAAGAUGGCACUUCCAACGAUGGGUUGCUGCCAUGAAAAGGCAGGGUUCAUCAAAGAUAUCUGGUUGAAUGGCAACAAUUGUUGCUGCUGCAGGAAGGCGGCAGCCAAUGGGUUAGCAGCUACCACUGGAUUAACACGAAGCAGCUGUUGUUGUUGCAGGUAUGCGGCGGUGUUCGUCACAGCGAGUUGGUUGAAUGGAAGCAGCUGUUGUUGUUGCAAGUAGGCGGCCGGGUUCACCAAGGCUAGUUGACUGAGUGCUGGUAGGAUUUGUUGCAGCUGCUGUUGUUGCAAGUAUGCAGCAGCAUUGGCCGCAACCAGUGGGUUGUAUGCAAGUUGUUGUUGUUGCAGGUAGGCGGCAGGGUUUGCCAUGGCUACCUGACUGAUCACUGGCAGGACCUGUUGUAGUUGUUGUUGCUGGUAUGCAGCAUUGUUCACCAGAGCCAGUGGGUUGGAUGCAAGUAGUUGUUGUUGCACGUAGGCCACAGGGUUUGCCAGGGCUAGUUGACUGAGUGCUGGUAGUAACUGUUGCUGCUGCUGCUGCUGCGCUGCGAUGGUCUGUCCGGUUAGAUGAGCCAAGGAUUGUUGUUGCAAUUGGGCAAAUGGUUGUUGUAAGAUGCUAUUCGCAAGCGCCUGCUGUAGUCUGUAAGCCUGCAGAGCCGGGUGUUCGAAUCCCACAAGAGUAAGUGGUGGGAGGAACUGUGAAAUAAUAGCAUUAGGAGCAAGUGAGCACUGCGGAAUAAUGACUGCAGUUGUUGUGCUCACUGAAAGAGCAAGGAGCGCAAGGAGGACAAAUAUCUUGGUAGCCAUUGUUGUGAGGACGUUGAUGUUUGUUUCCCUUGGUAUGUUUCUGAUUGCUCUCAGUGUUAUGGGCGAUGGAUUAACUACUGAUCUAGGGCCUAUAUAUUUAUACAAGUGAGGGCUCCUGUUUAGAUUUUGCCUUUUUUCAAACAACAGAUAAGCUAUAGAUGACAUGGCACCUAGUCAAUUUUGACAUUUAGUUAUUAUUUUUGUUGGAUUAUAUGGUCUAUGUAUGAAAGACAAUUUCCACUAAGUACAAGGAACACUUGUUGUUUUCUAUUGGAGUUUUUUUUGAUACAAUAGAAAUAACAUGCAUGAUCACUUCACCUUUACACAUGUUACAACCUUAGCCACAUCAUAAAUGUCCACUCUAUAUACAUGGCGAGUAUGUAAAGUUAUGACUUGCUCAUGUGGAUCAAAGCCUUUAUCAACGGACGUUCUUGUAGUAUUGUACUCAUGGUUGAAGAUAGCACGGUAGUUAGGCGACAAGUUACUCAAUGAAUAAACAAAUGCUAAAGAUUGAGACUAAAUAAAAAUACCAUUAUGUACACAUAGAAUUUAUAAAUUUAGAAUGCUUAUAGCCAAACAUGACAGUUGCCACACACUCCCUGUGUUCCUUGUUACAAUUUAUUUUUGAAUUAUCUAUACCCAACAUUGUAUAACUAUCAAAAAGUUUUAAAUAAACUUUGAUGAGAAUAAGCGCUAUCAUGACAUUAUCAUUAAUAAUUCAAUGAAAAAACUUGAUGUUCAAAAUUUUAGAUAGAUUUAGUAGGAAGUAAGUGAAAGUUAGGGGAGUCAGCGAAAACCUAGAGCAUGUAAUAAACUAGAGUGGAGGGAGUAUUUGUUGAACUAUAGCUAUUGAUUCGAAUUAAUUUACAUCAAGCUUGUCAAAGUUAACUUGUUUCCAUAUAGAAUAGACAAUGACAAAUUUUAUGCAACUUUUCUUCCUUCCACUACCUACAAUACGAGUCUAAGCUUCAAUAUACAUACGAAGAGGACCGUGGCCAUCCUCCUAGCUAUCUUACAUAUAAGUUAGAGCUCAAAGGCAUAGAUUCUUUCAAGCAGAAAGACAAUAUGAUCAAUAAUCUAAACGGUUCUCAGCAAUGCUGUAAAAACCUCAAGAAACGCUUGGCUAAGAUGGGGUCAGGAUUGAUUUUAUAAUACUCCCCCUUUAGUACCACAAUAUGCACAAGUCUCAUUAAAAACUCACCCAAAAACCUAGUGGGGAAAAAAGGCUUCAAAGAAAAGAGAACAUUAUAUCCAUAAUUGGGCAAAUAGUUGUUGCAAGAUGCUAUUUGAAAACGCCUGCUGUAGUCUAUAGGCCUACAGAGCUGGAUGUUCGAAUCCCACAGGAGUAACUGCUGGGAGGAACUGUGGAAUAAAAACAUUAGGAGCAAGUGAGCACUCGGCAAAUAUCUCGGUAGCCAGUGUUGUUUGAACGUUGCUAGUUCAUUUUAUUUGGUAUGUUUCUAAUGCUCUCAAUGUUGUGGCGAUGGGAUAACUACUGAUUCAAGGCCUAUUUACAAAAAUAAGGGCUCAUGUAUAUCUAUUUAGAUAUUGACAUUUGUCAAACAACAGAUAAGCUAUAUAUGAUAUGGCACCUAGUCAAUUUUGACAUUUAGUUAUCAAUUAGGCUGGUAAGCUUAAUCAUUCGGACUAGGCAAAAAUUUUGGGCUAAGGAUAUUCAAUAUGGCUAAAAUAUUUAAAAAGAACAACUUCAAUUCACUCCUAAUCCAAACGAGGGAAAAACCUUUUCAUGGACUUUGUUACUAUUCCUUUUUUAUUUAUGAAGGAAUUAAUUGUAUGACUGUGAAAUAAUGACUGCAGUUGUUGUGCUCACUGAAAGAGCAAGGAGCGCAAGGAGGGCAAAUAUCAUGGGCUCCAAAUAUUUCCUUACAUGUUGUAUUAUAGGGUCAUGCACAAUUUGGGUUCUAGCAAAAAACAUAUGCACCAAAUAUUUACUAAAAACAAUAACUAAGAGGUAAGACUUCGCGCGAACAACUUUGCACACACAUAUAGGUUUACUCAUGAACUUAUAUUAUGUUUUGCUUGGUAUAUGUGCACCUGAUUUGAGUGUUCACGGUCAAAGCAUAUGUGCCAAUCACUUUCUCAAAAGAACAUAUCACAGAUUUAAGUACUCAACUACAAGCACGUACAGUCACAUCUAUCUUAUAAACACACAAGCACACAUCCAAACAAGAACAUUCAAGCGGUUCGAGCUGGCACAUCUUUGGCUUGGUGAAGUAUGCGGUAUUGUCUACAUAUUAACCAAGCAUGUAUCUUUAAUUUUGAUUUGAUGUUUUCAAAUGAAUAUACAAAGAACACUCUUAAGAAAUUGACUCAAAUUAAUUCUCAAACAAUAUAUUGAUUAUUUAUUGGAAGUUGCACACGCCGAUAUAUAUGAGACCUUUGUUAUGAAGUACAACUCAUAUGUAAUCUAGAAGAUGGCACUUCCAACGAUGGGUUGCUGCCAUGAAAAGGCAGGGUUCAUCAAAGAUAUCUGGUUGAAUGGCAACAAUUGUUGCUGCUGCAGGAAGGCGGCAGCCAAUGGGUUAGCAGCUACCACUGGAUUAACACGAAGCAGCUGUUGUUGUUGCAGGUAUGCGGCGGUGUUCGUCAUAGCGAGUUGGUUGAAUGGAAGCAGCUGUUGUUGUUGCAAGUAGGCGGCCGGGUUGACCAAGGCUAGUUGACUGAGUGCUGGUAGGAUUUGUUGCAGCUGCUGUUGUUGCAAGUAUGCAGCAGCAUUGGCCGCAACCAGUGGGUUGUAUGCAAGUUGUUGUUGUUGCAGGUAGGCGGCAGGGUUUGCCAUGGCUACCUGACUGAUCACUGGCAGGACCUGUUGUAGUUGUUGCUGCUGGUAUGCAGCAUUGUUCACCAGAGCCAGUGGGUUGGAUGCAAGUAGUUGUUGUUGCAAGUAGGCCACAGGGUUUGCCAGGGCUAGUUGACUGAGUGCUGGUAGGAACUGUUGCUGCUGCUGCUGCGCUGCGAUGGUCUGUACGGUUAGAUGAGCCGAGGAUUGUUGUUGCAAUUGGGCAAAUGGUUGUUGUAAGAUGCUAUUCGCAAGCGCCUGCUGUAGUCUGUAAGCCUGCAGAGCCGGGUGUUCGAAUCCCACAAGAGUAAGUGGUGGGAGGAACUGUGAAAUAAUAGCAUUAGGAGCAAGUGAGCACUGCGGAAUAAUGACUGCAGUUGUUGUGCUCACUGAAAGAGCAAGGAGCGCAAGGAGGACAAAUAUCUUGGUAGCCAUUGUUGUGAGGACGUUGAUGUUUGUUUCCCUUGGUAUGUUUCUGAUUGCUCUCAGUGUUAUGGGCGAUGGAUUAACUACUGAUCUAGGGCCUAUAUAUUUAUACAAGUGAGGGCUCCUGUUUAGAUUUUGCCUUUUUUCAAACAACAGAUAAGCUAUAGAUGACAUGGCACCUAGUCAAUUUUGACAUUUAGUUAUUAUUUUUGUUGGAUUAUAUGGUCCAUGUAUGAAAGACAAUUUCCACUAAGUACAAGGAACACUUGUUGUUUUCUAUUGGAGUUUUUUUUGAUACAAUAGAAAUAACAUGCAUGAUCACUUCACCUUUACACAUGUUACAACCUUAGCCACAUCAUAAAUGUCCACUUUAUAUACAUGGCGAGUAUGUAAAGUUAUGACUUGCUCAUGUGGAUCAAAGCCUUUAUCAACGGACGUUCUUGUAGUAUUGUACUCAUGGUUGAAGAUAGCACGGUAGUUAGGUGAGAAGUUACUCAAUGAAUAAACAAAUGCUAAAGAUUGAGACUAAAUAAAAAUACCCUUAUGUACACAUAGAAUUUAUAAAUUUAGAAUGCUUAUAGCCAAACAUGACAGUUGCCACACACUCCCUGUGUUCCUUGUUACAAUUUAUUUUUGAAUUAUCUAUACCCAACAUUGUAUAACUAUCAAAAAGUUUUAAAUAAACUUUGACGAGAAUAAGCGCUAUCAUGACAUUAUCAUUAAUAAUUCAAUGAAAAAACUUGAUGUUCAAAAUUUUAGAUAGAUUUAGUAGGAAGUAAGUGAAAGUUAGGGGAGUUAGCGAAAACCUAGAGCAUGUAAUAAACUAGAGUGGAGGGAGUAUUUGUUGAACUAUAGCUAUUGAUUCGAAUUAAUUUACAUCAAGCUUGUCAAAGUUAACUUGUUUCCAUAUAGAAUAGACAAUGACAAAUUUUAUGCAACUUUUCUUCCUUCCACUACCUACAAUACGAGUCUAAGCUUCAAUAUACAUACGAAGAGGACCGUGGCCAUCCUCCUAGCUAUCUUACAUAUAAGUUAGAGCUCAAAGGCAUAGAUUCUUUCAAGCAGAAAGACAAUAUGAUCAAUAAUCUAAACGGUUCUCAGCAAUGCUGCAAAAACCUCAAGAAACGCUUGGCUAAGAUGGGGUCAGGAUUGAUUUUAUAAUACUCCCCCUUUAGUACCACAAUAUGCACAAGUCUCAUUAAAAACUCACCCAAAAACCUAGUGGGGAAAAAAGGCUUCAAAGAAAAGAGAACAUUAUAUCCAUAAUUGGGCAAAUAGUUGUUGCAAGAUGCUAUUUGAAAACGCCUGCUGUAGUCUAUAGGCCUACAGAGCUGGAUGUUCGAAUCCCAUAGGAGUAAGUGCUGGGAGGAACUGUGGAAUAAAAACAUUAGGAGCAAGUGAGCACUCGGCAAAUAUCUCGGUAGCCAUUGUUGUUUGAACGUUGCUAGUUCAUUUUAUUUGGUAUGUUUCUAAUGCUCUCAAUGUUGUGGCGAUGGGAUAACUACUGAUUCAAGGCCUAUUUACAAAAAUAAGGGCUCAUGUAUAUCUAUUUAGAUAUUGACAUUUGUCAAACAACAGAUAAGCUAUAUAUGAUAUGGCACUUAGUCAAUUUUGACAUUUAGUUAUCAAUUAGGCUGGUAAGCUUAAUCAUUCGGACUAGGCAAAAAUUUUGGGCUAAGGAUAUUCAAUAUGGCUAAAAUAUUUAAAAAGAACAACUUCAAUUCACUCCUAAUCCAAACGAGGGAAAAACCUUUUCAUGGACUUUGUUACUAUUCCUUUUUUAUUUAUGAAGGAAUUAAUUGUAUGACUGUGAAAUAAUGACUGCAGUUGUUGUGCUCACUGAAAGAGCAAGGAGCGCAAGGAGGGCAAAUAUCAUGGGCUCCAAAUAUUUCCUUACAUGUUGUAUUAUAGGGUCAUGCACAAUUUGGGUUCUAGCAAAAAACAUAUGCACCAAAUAUUUACUAAAAACAAUAACUAAGAGGUAAGACUUCGCGCGAACAACUUUGCACACACAUAUAGGUUUACUCAUGAACUUAUAUUAUGUUUUGCUUGGUAUAUGUGCACCUGAUUUGAGUGUUCACGGUCAAAGCAUAUGUGCCAAUCACUUUCUCAAAAGAACAUAUCACAGAUUUAAGUACUCAACUACAAGCACGUACAGUCACAUCUAUCUUAUAAACACACAAGCACACAUCCAAACAAGAACAUUCAAGCGGUUCGAGCUGGCACAUCUUUGGCUUGGUGAAGUAUGCGGUAUUGUCUACAUAUUAACCAAGCAUGCAUCUUUAAUUUUGAUUUGAUGUUUUCAAAUGAAUAUACAAAGAACACUCUUAAGAAAUUGACUCAAAUUAAUUCUCAAACAAUAUAUUGAUUAUUUAUUGGAAGUUGCACACGCCGAUAUAUAUGAGACCUUUGUUAUGAAGUACAACUCAUAUGUAAUCUAGAAGAUGGCACUUCCAACGAUGGGUUGCUGCCAUGAAAAGGCAGGGUUCAUCAAAGAUAUCUGGUUGAAUGGCAACAAUUGUUGCUGCUGCAGGAAGGCGGCAGCCAAUGGGUUAGCAGCUACCACUGGAUUAACACGAAGCAGCUGUUGUUGUUGCAGGUAUGCGGCGGUGUUCGUCACAGCGAGUUGGUUGAAUGGAAGCAGCUGUUGUUGUUGCAAGUAGGCGGCCGGGUUCACCAAGGCUAGUUGACUGAGUGCUGGUAGGAUUUGUUGCAGCUGUUGUUGUUGCAAGUAUGCAGCAGCAUUGGCCGCAACCAGUGGGUUGUAUGCAAGUUGUUGUUGUUGCAGGUAGGCGGCAGGGUUUGCCAUGGCUACCUGACUGAUCACUGGCAGGACCUGUUGUAGUUGUUGUUGCUGGUAUGCAGCAUUGUUCACCAGAGCCAGUGGGUUGGAUGCAAGUAGUUGUUGUUGCAAGUAGGCCACAGGGUUUGCCAGGGCUAGUUGACUGAGUGCUGGUAGGAACUGUUGCUGCUGCUGCUGCGCUGCGAUGGUCUGUACGGUUAGAUGAGCCGAGGAUUGUUGUUGCAAUUGGGGAAAUGGUUGUUGUAAGAUGCUAUUCGCAAGCGCCUGCUGUAGUCUGUAAGCCUGCAGAGCCGGGUGUUCGAAUCCCACAAGAGUAAGUGGUGGGAGGAACUGUGAAAUAAUAGCAUUAGGAGCAAGUGAGCACUGCGGAAUAAUGACUGCAGUUGUUGUGCUCACUGAAAGAGCAAGGAGCGCAAGGAGGACAAAUAUCUUGGUAGCCAUUGUUGUGAGGACGUUGAUGUUUGUUUCCCUUGGUAUGUUUCUGAUUGCUCUCAGUGUUAUGGGCGAUGGAUUAACUACUGAUCUAGGGCCUAUAUAUUUAUACAAGUGAGGGCUCCUGUUUAGAUUUUGCCUUUUUUCAAACAACAGAUAAGCUAUAGAUGACAUGGCACCUAGUCAAUUUUGACAUUUAGUUAUUAUUUUUGUUGGAUUAUAUGGUCCAUGUAUGAAAGACAAUUUCCACUAAGUACAAGGAACACUUGUUGUUUUCUAUUGGAGUUUUUUUUGAUACAAUAGAAAUAACAUGCAUGAUCACUUCACCUUUACACAUGUUACAACCUUAGCCACAUCAUAAAUGUCCACUUUAUAUACAUGGCGAGUAUGUAAAGUUAUGACUUGCUCAUGUGGAUCAAAGCCUUUAUCAACGGACGUUCUUGUAGUAUUGUACUCAUGGUUGAAGAUAGCACGGUAGUUAGGUGAGAAGUUACUCAAUGAAUAAACAAAUGCUAAAGAUUGAGACUAAAUAAAAAUACCCUUAUGUACACAUAGAAUUUAUAAAUUUAGAAUGCUUAUAGCCAAACAUGACAGUUGCCACACACUCCCUGUGUUCCUUGUUACAAUUUAUUUUUGAAUUAUCUAUACCCAACAUUGUAUAACUAUCAAAAAGUUUUAAAUAAACUUUGACGAGAAUAAGCGCUAUCAUGACAUUAUCAUUAAUAAUUCAAUGAAAAAACUUGAUGUUCAAAAUUUUAGAUAGAUUUAGUAGGAAGUAAGUGAAAGUUAGGGGAGUUAGCGAAAACCUAGAGCAUGUAAUAAACUAGAGUGGAGGGAGUAUUUGUUGAACUAUAGCUAUUGAUUCGAAUUAAUUUACAUCAAGCUUGUCAAAGUUAACUUGUUUCCAUAUAGAAUAGACAAUGACAAAUUUUAUGCAACUUUUCUUCCUUCCACUACCUACAAUACGAGUCUAAGCUUCAAUAUACAUACGAAGAGGACCGUGGCCAUCCUCCUAGCUAUCUUACAUAUAAGUUAGAGCUCAAAGGCAUAGAUUCUUUCAAGCAGAAAGACAAUAUGAUCAAUAAUCUAAACGGUUCUCAGCAAUGCUGCAAAAACCUCAAGAAACGCUUGGCUAAGAUGGGGUCAGGAUUGAUUUUAUAAUACUCCCCCUUUAGUACCACAAUAUGCACAAGUCUCAUUAAAAACUCACCCAAAAACCUAGUGGGGAAAAAAGGCUUCAAAGAAAAGAGAACAUUAUAUCCAUAAUUGGGCAAAUAGUUGUUGCAAGAUGCUAUUUGAAAACGCCUGCUGUAGUCUAUAGGCCUACAGAGCUGGAUGUUCGAAUCCCAUAGGAGUAAGUGCUGGGAGGAACUGUGGAAUAAAAACAUUAGGAGCAAGUGAGCACUCGGCAAAUAUCUCGGUAGCCAUUGUUGUUUGAACGUUGCUAGUUCAUUUUAUUUGGUAUGUUUCUAAUGCUCUCAAUGUUGUGGCGAUGGGAUAACUACUGAUUCAAGGCCUAUUUACAAAAAUAAGGGCUCAUGUAUAUCUAUUUAGAUAUUGACAUUUGUCAAACAACAGAUAAGCUAUAUAUGAUAUGGCACUUAGUCAAUUUUGACAUUUAGUUAUCAAUUAGGCUGGUAAGCUUAAUCAUUCGGACUAGGCAAAAAUUUUGGGCUAAGGAUAUUCAAUAUGGCUAAAAUAUUUAAAAAGAACAACUUCAAUUCACUCCUAAUCCAAACGAGGGAAAAACCUUUUCAUGGACUUUGUUACUAUUCCUUUUUUAUUUAUGAAGGAAUUAAUUGUAUGACUGUGAAAUAAUGACUGCAGUUGUUGUGCUCACUGAAAGAGCAAGGAGCGCAAGGAGGGCAAAUAUCAUGGGCUCCAAAUAUUUCCUUACAUGUUGUAUUAUAGGGUCAUGCACAAUUUGGGUUCUAGCAAAAAACAUAUGCACCAAAUAUUUACUAAAAACAAUAACUAAGAGGUAAGACUUCGCGCGAACAACUUUGCACACACAUAUAGGUUUACUCAUGAACUUAUAUUAUGUUUUGCUUGGUAUAUGUGCACCUGAUUUGAGUGUUCACGGUCAAAGCAUAUGUGCCAAUCACUUUCUCAAAAGAACAUAUCACAGAUUUAAGUACUCAACUACAAGCACGUACAGUCACAUCUAUCUUAUAAACACACAAGCACACAUCCAAACAAGAACAUUCAAGCGGUUCGAGCUGGCACAUCUUUGGCUUGGUGAAGUAUGCGGUAUUGUCUACAUAUUAACCAAGCAUGCAUCUUUAAUUUUGAUUUGAUGUUUUCAAAUGAAUAUACAAAGAACACUCUUAAGAAAUUGACUCAAAUUAAUUCUCAAACAAUAUAUUGAUUAUUUAUUGGAAGUUGCACACGCCGAUAUAUAUGAGACCUUUGUUAUGAAGUACAACUCAUAUGUAAUCUAGAAGAUGGCACUUCCAACGAUGGGUUGCUGCCAUGAAAAGGCAGGGUUCAUCAAAGAUAUCUGGUUGAAUGGCAACAAUUGUUGCUGCUGCAGGAAGGCGGCAGCCAAUGGGUUAGCAGCUACCACUGGAUUAACACGAAGCAGCUGUUGUUGUUGCAGGUAUGCGGCGGUGUUCGUCACAGCGAGUUGGUUGAAUGGAAGCAGCUGUUGUUGUUGCAAGUAGGCGGCCGGGUUCACCAAGGCUAGUUGACUGAGUGCUGGUAGGAUUUGUUGCAGCUGUUGUUGUUGCAAGUAUGCAGCAGCAUUGGCCGCAACCAGUGGGUUGUAUGCAAGUUGUUGUUGUUGCAGGUAGGCGGCAGGGUUUGCCAUGGCUACCUGACUGAUCACUGGCAGGACCUGUUGUAGUUGUUGUUGCUGGUAUGCAGCAUUGUUCACCAGAGCCAGUGGGUUGGAUGCAAGUAGUUGUUGUUGCAAGUAGGCCACAGGGUUUGCCAGGGCUAGUUGACUGAGUGCUGGUAGUAACUGUUGCUGCUGCUGCUGCUGCGCUGCGAUGGUCUGUCCGGUUAGAUGAGCCAAGGAUUGUUGUUGCAAUUGGGCAAAUGGUUGUUGUAAGAUGCUAUUCGCAAGCGCCUGCUGUAGUCUGUAAGCCUGCAGAGCCGGGUGUUCGAAUCCCACAAGAGUAAGUGGUGGGAGGAACUGUGAAAUAAUAGCAUUAGGAGCAAGUGAGCACUGCGGAAUAAUGACUGCAGUUGUUGUGCUCACUGAAAGAGCAAGGAGCGCAAGGAGGACAAAUAUCUUGGUAGCCAUUGUUGUGAGGACGUUGAUGUUUGUUUCCCUUGGUAUGUUUCUGAUUGCUCUCAGUGUUAUGGGCGAUGGAUUAACUACUGAUCUAGGGCCUAUAUAUUUAUACAAGUGAGGGCUCCUGUUUAGAUUUUGCCUUUUUUCAAACAACAGAUAAGCUAUAGAUGACAUGGCACCUAGUCAAUUUUGACAUUUAGUUAUUAUUUUUGUUGGAUUAUAUGGUCCAUGUAUGAAAGACAAUUUCCACUAAGUACAAGGAACACUUGUUGUUUUCUAUUGGAGUUUUUUUUGAUACAAUAGAAAUAACAUGCAUGAUCACUUCACCUUUACACAUGUUACAACCUUAGCCACAUCAUAAAUGUCCACUUUAUAUACAUGGCGAGUAUGUAAAGUUAUGACUUGCUCAUGUGGAUCAAAGCCUUUAUCAACGGACGUUCUUGUAGUAUUGUACUCAUGGUUGAAGAUAGCACGGUAGUUAGGUGAGAAGUUACUCAAUGAAUAAACAAAUGCUAAAGAUUGAGACUAAAUAAAAAUACCCUUAUGUACACAUAGAAUUUAUAAAUUUAGAAUGCUUAUAGCCAAACAUGACAGUUGCCACACACUCCCUGUGUUCCUUGUUACAAUUUAUUUUUGAAUUAUCUAUACCCAACAUUGUAUAACUAUCAAAAAGUUUUAAAUAAACUUUGACGAGAAUAAGCGCUAUCAUGACAUUAUCAUUAAUAAUUCAAUGAAAAAACUUGAUGUUCAAAAUUUUAGAUAGAUUUAGUAGGAAGUAAGUGAAAGUUAGGGGAGUUAGCGAAAACCUAGAGCAUGUAAUAAACUAGAGUGGAGGGAGUAUUUGUUGAACUAUAGCUAUUGAUUCGAAUUAAUUUACAUCAAGCUUGUCAAAGUUAACUUGUUUCCAUAUAGAAUAGACAAUGACAAAUUUUAUGCAACUUUUCUUCCUUCCACUACCUACAAUACGAGUCUAAGCUUCAAUAUACAUACGAAGAGGACCGUGGCCAUCCUCCUAGCUAUCUUACAUAUAAGUUAGAGCUCAAAGGCAUAGAUUCUUUCAAGCAGAAAGACAAUAUGAUCAAUAAUCUAAACGGUUCUCAGCAAUGCUGCAAAAACCUCAAGAAACGCUUGGCUAAGAUGGGGUCAGGAUUGAUUUUAUAAUACUCCCCCUUUAGUACCACAAUAUGCACAAGUCUCAUUAAAAACUCACCCAAAAACCUAGUGGGGAAAAAAGGCUUCAAAGAAAAGAGAACAUUAUAUCCAUAAUUGGGCAAAUAGUUGUUGCAAGAUGCUAUUUGAAAACGCCUGCUGUAGUCUAUAGGCCUACAGAGCUGGAUGUUCGAAUCCCAUAGGAGUAAGUGCUGGGAGGAACUGUGGAAUAAAAACAUUAGGAGCAAGUGAGCACUCGGCAAAUAUCUCGGUAGCCAUUGUUGUUUGAACGUUGCUAGUUCAUUUUAUUUGGUAUGUUUCUAAUGCUCUCAAUGUUGUGGCGAUGGGAUAACUACUGAUUCAAGGCCUAUUUACAAAAAUAAGGGCUCAUGUAUAUCUAUUUAGAUAUUGACAUUUGUCAAACAACAGAUAAGCUAUAUAUGAUAUGGCACUUAGUCAAUUUUGACAUUUAGUUAUCAAUUAGGCUGGUAAGCUUAAUCAUUCGGACUAGGCAAAAAUUUUGGGCUAAGGAUAUUCAAUAUGGCUAAAAUAUUUAAAAAGAACAACUUCAAUUCACUCCUAAUCCAAACGAGGGAAAAACCUUUUCAUGGACUUUGUUACUAUUCCUUUUUUAUUUAUGAAGAAAUUAAUUGUAUGACUGUGAAAUAAUGACUGCAGUUGUUGUGCUCACUGAAAGAGCAAGGAGCGCAAGGAGGGCAAAUAUCAUGGGCUCCAAAUAUUUCCUUACAUGUUGUAUUAUAGGGUCAUGCACAAUUUGGGUUCUAGCAAAAAACAUAUGCACCAAAUAUUUACUAAAAACAAUAACUAAGAGGUAAGACUUCGCGCGAACAACUUUGCACACACAUAUAGGUUUACUCAUGAACUUAUAUUAUGUUUUGCUUGGUAUAUGUGCACCUGAUUUGAGUGUUCACGGUCAAAGCAUAUGUGCCAAUCACUUUCUCAAAAGAACAUAUCACAGAUUUAAGUACUCAACUACAAGCACGUACAGUCACAUCUAUCUUAUAAACACACAAGCACACAUCCAAACAAGAACAUUCAAGCGGUUCGAGCUGGCACAUCUUUGGCUUGGUGAAGUAUGCGGUAUUGUCUACAUAUUAACCAAGCAUGUAUCUUUAAUUUUGAUUUGAUGUUUUCAAAUGAAUAUACAAAGAACACUCUUAAGAAAUUGACUCAAAUUAAUUCUCAAACAAUAUAUUGAUUAUUUAUUGGAAGUUGCACACGCCGAUAUAUAUGAGACCUUUGUUAUGAAGUACAACUCAUAUGUAAUCUAGAAGAUGGCACUUCCAACGAUGGGUUGCUGCCAUGAAAAGGCAGGGUUCAUCAAAGAUAUCUGGUUGAAUGGCAACAAUUGUUGCUGCUGCAGGAAGGCGGCAGCCAAUGGGUUAGCAGCUACCACUGGAUUAACACGAAGCAGCUGUUGUUGUUGCAGGUAUGCGGCGGUGUUCGUCACAGCGAGUUGGUUGAAUGGAAGCAGCUGUUGUUGUUGCAAGUAGGCGGCCGGGUUCACCAAGGCUAGUUGACUGAGUGCUGGUAGGAUUUGUUGCAGCUGUUGUUGUUGCAAGUAUGCAGCAGCAUUGGCCGCAACCAGUGGGUUGUAUGCAAGUUGUUGUUGUUGCAGGUAGGCGGCAGGGUUUGCCAUGGCUACCUGACUGAUCACUGGCAGGACCUGUUGUAGUUGUUGUUGCUGGUAUGCAGCAUUGUUCACCAGAGCCAGUGGGUUGGAUGCAAGUAGUUGUUGUUGCAAGUAGGCCACAGGGUUUGCCAGGGCUAGUUGACUGAGUGCUGGUAGGAACUGUUGCUGCUGCUGCUGCGCUGCGAUGGUCUGUACGGUUAGAUGAGCCGAGGAUUGUUGUUGCAAUUGGGGAAAUGGUUGUUGUAAGAUGCUAUUCGCAAGCGCCUGCUGUAGUCUGUAAGCCUGCAGAGCCGGGUGUUCGAAUCCCACAAGAGUAAGUGGUGGGAGGAACUGUGAAAUAAUAGCAUUAGGAGCAAGUGAGCACUGCGGAAUAAUGACUGCAGUUGUUGUGCUCACUGAAAGAGCAAGGAGCGCAAGGAGGACAAAUAUCUUGGUAGCCAUUGUUGUGAGGACGUUGAUGUUUGUUUCCCUUGGUAUGUUUCUGAUUGCUCUCAGUGUUAUGGGCGAUGGAUUAACUACUGAUCUAGGGCCUAUAUAUUUAUACAAGUGAGGGCUCCUGUUUAGAUUUUGCCUUUUUUCAAACAACAGAUAAGCUAUAGAUGACAUGGCACCUAGUCAAUUUUGACAUUUAGUUAUUAUUUUUGUUGGAUUAUAUGGUCUAUGUAUGAAAGACAAUUUCCACUAAGUACAAGGAACACUUGUUGUUUUCUAUUGGAGUUUUUUUUGAUACAAUAGAAAUAACAUGCAUGAUCACUUCACCUUUACACAUGUUACAACCUUAGCCACAUCAUAAAUGUCCACUUUAUAUACAUGGCGAGUAUGUAAAGUUAUGACUUGCUCAUGUGGAUCAAAGCCUUUAUCAACGGACGUUCUUGUAGUAUUGUACUCAUGGUUGAAGAUAGCACGGUAGUUAGGCGAGAAGUUACUCAAUGAAUAAACAAAUGCUAAAGAUUGAGACUAAAUAAAAAUACCAUUAUGUACACAUAGAAUUUAUAAAUUUAGAAUGCUUAUAGCCAAACAUGACAGUUGCCACACACUCCCUGUGUUCCUUGUUACAAUUUAUUUUUGAAUUAUCUAUACCCAACAUUGUAUAACUAUCAAAAAGUUUUAAAUAAACUUUGAUGAGAAUAAGCGCUAUCAUGACAUUAUCAUUAAUAAUUCAAUGAAAAAACUUGAUGUUCAAAAUUUUAGAUAGAUUUAGUAGGAAGUAAGUGAAAGUUAGGGGAGUCAGCGAAAACCUAGAGCAUGUAAUAAACUAGAGUGGAGGGAGUAUUUGUUGAACUAUAGCUAUUGAUUCGAAUUAAUUUACAUCAAGCUUGUCAAAGUUAACUUGUUUCCAUAUAGAAUAGACAAUGACAAAUUUUAUGCAACUUUUCUUCCUUCCACUACCUACAAUACGAGUCUAAGCUUCAAUAUACAUACGAAGAGGACCGUGGCCAUCCUCCUAGCUAUCUUACAUAUAAGUUAGAGCUCAAAGGCAUAGAUUCUUUCAAGCAGAAAGACAAUAUGAUCAAUAAUCUAAACGGUUCUCAGCAAUGCUGUAAAAACCUCAAGAAACGCUUGGCUAAGAUGGGGUCAGGAUUGAUUUUAUAAUACUCCCCCUUUAGUACCACAAUAUGCACAAGUCUCAUUAAAAACUCACCCAAAAACCUAGUGGGGAAAAAAGGCUUCAAAGAAAAGAGAACAUUAUAUCCAUAAUUGGGCAAAUAGUUGUUGCAAGAUGCUAUUUGAAAACGCCUGCUGUAGUCUAUAGGCCUACAGAGCUGGAUGUUCGAAUCCCAUAGGAGUAAGUGCUGGGAGGAACUGUGGAAUAAAAACAUUAGGAGCAAGUGAGCACUCGGCAAAUAUCUCGGUAGCCAUUGUUGUUUGAACGUUGCUAGUUCAUUUUAUUUGGUAUGUUUCUAAUGCUAUCAAUGUUGUGGCGAUGGGAUAACUACUGAUUCAAGGCCUAUUUACAAAAAUAAGGGCUCAUGUAUAUCUAUUUAGAUAUUGACAUUUGUCAAACAACAGAUAAGCUAUAUAUGAUAUGGCACCUAGUCAAUUUUGACAUUUAGUUAUCAAUUAGGCUGGUAAGCUUAAUCAUUCGGACUAGGCAAAAAUUUUGGGCUAAGGAUAUUCAAUAUGGCUAAAAUAUUUAAAAAGAACAACUUCAAUUCACUCCUAAUCCAAACGAGGGAAAAACCUUUUCAUGGACUUUGUUACUAUUCCUUUUUUAUUUAUGAAGGAAUUAAUUGUAUGACUGUGAAAUAAUGACUGCAGUUGUUGUGCUCACUGAAAGAGCAAGGAGCGCAAGGAGGGCAAAUAUCAUGGGCUCCAAAUAUUUCCUUACAUGUUGUAUUAUAGGGUCAUGCACAAUUUGGGUUCUAGCAAAAAACAUAUGCACCAAAUAUUUACUAAAAACAAUAACUAAGAGGUAAGACUUCGCGCGAACAACUUUGCACACACAUAUAGGUUUACUCAUGAACUUAUAUUAUGUUUUGCUUGGUAUAUGUGCACCUGAUUUGAGUGUUCACGGUCAAAGCAUAUGUGCCAAUCACUUUCUCAAAAGAACAUAUCACAGAUUUAAGUACUCAACUACAAGCACGUACAGUCACAUCUAUCUUAUAAACACACAAGCACACAUCCAAACAAGAACAUUCAAGCGGUUCGAGCUGGCACAUCUUUGGCUUGGUGAAGUAUGCGGUAUUGUCUACAUAUUAACCAAGCAUGUAUCUUUAAUUUUGAUUUGAUGUUUUCAAAUGAAUAUACAAAGAACACUCUUAAGAAAUUGACUCAAAUUAAUUCUCAAACAAUAUAUUGAUUAUUUAUUGGAAGUUGCACACGCCGAUAUAUAUGAGACCUUUGUUAUGAAGUACAACUCAUAUGUAAUCUAGAAGAUGGCACUUCCAACGAUGGGUUGCUGCCAUGAAAAGGCAGGGUUCAUCAAAGAUAUCUGGUUGAAUGGCAACAAUUGUUGCUGCUGCAGGAAGGCGGCAGCCAAUGGGUUAGCAGCUACCACUGGAUUAACACGAAGCAGCUGUUGUUGUUGCAGGUAUGCGGCGGUGUUCGUCACAGCGAGUUGGUUGAAUGGAAGCAGCUGUUGUUGUUGCAAGUAGGCGGCCGGGUUCACCAAGGCUAGUUGACUGAGUGCUGGUAGGAUUUGUUGCAGCUGCUGUUGUUGCAAGUAUGCAGCAGCAUUGGCCGCAACCAGUGGGUUGUAUGCAAGUUGUUGUUGUUGCAGGUAGGCGGCAGGGUUUGCCAUGGCUACCUGACUGAUCACUGGCAGGACCUGUUGUAGUUGUUGUUGCUGGUAUGCAGCAUUGUUCACCAGAGCCAGUGGGUUGGAUGCAAGUAGUUGUUGUUGCAAGUAGGCCACAGGGUUUGCCAGGGCUAGUUGACUGAGUGCUGGUAGGAACUGUUGCUGCUGCUGCUGCGCUGCGAUGGUCUGUACGGUUAGAUGAGCCGAGGAUUGUUGUUGCAAUUGGGGAAAUGGUUGUUGUAAGAUGCUAUUCGCAAGCGCCUGCUGUAGUCUGUAAGCCUGCAGAGCCGGGUGUUCGAAUCCCACAAGAGUAAGUGGUGGGAGGAACUGUGAAAUAAUAGCAUUAGGAGCAAGUGAGCACUGCGGAAUAAUGACUGCAGUUAUUGUGCUCACUGAAAGAGCAAGGAGCGCAAGGAGGACAAAUAUCUUGGUAGCCAUUGUUGUGAGGACGUUGAUGUUUGUUUCCCUUGGUAUGUUUCUGAUUGCUCUCUGUGUUAUGGGCGAUGGAUUAACUACUGAUCUGGGGCCUAUAUAUUUAUACAAGUGAGGGCUCCUGUUUAGAUUUUGCCUUUUUUCAAACAACAGAUAAGCUAUAGAUGACAUGGCACCUAGUCAAUUUUGACAUUUAGUUAUUAUUUUUGUUGGAUUAUAUGGUCUAUGUAUGAAAGACAAUUUCCACUAAGUACAAGGAACACUUGUUGUUUUCUAUUGGAGUUUUUUUGAUACAAUAGAAAUAACAUGCAUGAUCACUUCACCUUUACACAUGUUACAACCUUAGCCACAUCAUAAAUGUCCACUUUAUAUACUUGGCGAGUAUGUAAAGUUAUGACUUGCUCAUGUGGAUCAAAGCCUUUAUCAACGGACGUUCUUGUAGUAUUGUACUCAUGGUUGAAGAUAGCACGGUAGUUAGGUGAGAAGUUACUCAAUGAAUAAACAAAUGCUAAAGAUUGAGACUAAAUAAAAAAACCAUUAUGUACACAUAGAAUUUAUGAAAUUAGAAUGCUUAUAGCCAAACAUGACAGUUGCCACACACUCCCUGUGUUCCUUGUUACAAUUUAUUUUUUAAUUAUCUAUACCCAACAUUGUAUAACUAUCAAAAAGUUUUAAAUAAACUUUGAUGAGAAUAAGCGCUAUCAUGACAUUAUCAUAAACAAUUCAAUGAAAAAACUUGAUGUUCAAAAUUUUAGAUAGAUUUAGUAGGAAGUAAGUGAAAGUUAGGGGAGUUAGUGAAAACCUAGAGCAUGUAAUAAACUAGAGUGGAGGGAGUAUUUGUUGAACUAUAGCUAUUGAUUCGAAUUAAUUUACAUCUAGCUUGUCAAAGUUAACUUGUUUCCAUAUAGAAUAGACAAUGACAAAUUUUAUGCAACUUUUCUUCCUUCCACUACCUACAAUACGAGUCUAAGCUUCAAUAUACAGACGAAGAGGACCGUGGCCAUCCUCCUAGCUAUCUUACAUAUAAGUUAGAGCUCAAAGGCAUAGAUUCUUUCGAGCAGAAAGACAAUAUGAUCAAUAAUCUAAACUGUUCUCAGCAAUGCUGCAAAAACCUCAAAAAACGCUUGGCUAAGAUGGGGUCAGGAUUGAUUUUUUCUAUCAUAAAACUACAACACCGUAACUUGAAGUUCCAUGACAACACACUCCUUCAAAUACCUUUUUGCUAGAACAAUGUGCCUUGGGCACACAUUCAAUUCAUCAUAGUCUACGUAAAGAUAUUUUGGCUUUCCCUACACAUGAGUUGAAUCUCGUCCCAAAGAACAUCGAGAACAUUUGGCUUGUAUGCUUAAUCGCGAGGACUAGGCAAAAAUUCAGAGCUAAGGAUAUUCAGUAUGGCUAAAAGAUUUAAAAAGAAUAACUUCGAUUGAAUUGUAGCUAUUGAUUCAAAUUAAUUUACAUCUAGCUUUUAUAAAUGUCAAAGUUAACUUGUUUCCAUACAGAAUAGACAAUGACAAAUUUUAUGCAACUUUUCUUCGUUCCACUAGUUACAAUAUGUGUCUAAGCUUCAAUAUACUGAUAGAGCAAGGAGCGCAAGGAGGGCAAAUAUCUUGGUAGCCAUUGUUGUGAGAACGUUGUCAACUUUAUAGAUAUGAAGAGUAUGUAAAGUUAUGACUUGCUGAUAUGGUACAAAGCCACAUCAGGGCACUCACAAUGCAGACUCUAUCAUAGAGUCUAAAGUUAUUUAUUACCUCGAACAAUGUGGACUUGGAGUCUAAAUAAGACUUGGAGUCUUAUUUUUUUCUAUCUCUUUCAAUAAAUAUGCUGCCACAUCAGUAAAAUACCACCUCGGUAAAGGCUCCAAAACCCUCGGCAAAGGCUUGCCGAGGGCUGCCCUCAAUAAAGACCCCUCUGAAAAUUUUUAGACGGCAAAGGGGUCUUUGCCGAGGGCCGUCCUAGCAGCUGUCACGGCGCCGGCGCCGUUGGCAGUUUCUUUGCUAAGGGCCGGCCCUCGGCAAAGAAAUGUUUUUAAAAUUCUUUGCCGAGAGCUUCCUUGGGCAAAUAUUUUUUUAUUUUUUUAAAAAAACCUUUGCCGAGGGCCAGGAUCCUGGCCCUCUGCAAAGAAAUAUUCAGGAUUUUUUCCAAACAAAUCUUUGCCGAAGGCUAUUUCCAAGGCCCUCGGCAAAGACACUACUACAGAAAAAAAAUACAAUAAUUAAAAGAAGCAGUUAGCACUCUAUAUAUAUAUAUACAUAUAUAUAUAGAUAUAGAUAUAUAUAGGGUUUACUUUUACUCUUUGUAUAUUUGGAUGAUGACUAAGACUUAAUCUAACCACAUCACAGCACAUAAGUCAUAGUCAUCAUCCAAAUAUACAAAGAGUAAAAGUAAACUAUCUAGGCCUACCACAUUUGUUACAGGAAAUAAACUUUCAAGAUUGUUCAUUCAUAGUUUGUAUAGUUUAAACACGUCCUUUACAAAUAAAAUUUAGGUUUCCACUACUCUAGCUACAUCCAUCCUACUAGUAUGAUGAACCAACAAAAGUAGCUGAAAAAUAACUUAGACCAAAAGAUGACUGGUGCACUCUUCCACAAUCGACUUUUGUGCUUGCUGACUGAUACCCUAUAGAAUUGACAAAAAAAAUAUUUAGAAUGGGAACAUGGGACUGAUUUAGAUCACUUAAUGAAAACUAGCUAAGUGCAGGUCAUUAGGUAAGCAAUAUAAAUCUGACCUUUUACAAGAACAAAUGCAAACGAGGCAUUUCCUUGAAGGUGGUUUAUACACUAGUUUCCGAAACAUAGUGCUACUUUUUAUCCUUAUUCCUUAUGUGUUAAAAUCAUCUUGAAGGUGAAUUAUGAUAGAAAACUAGCAUUUCCUAACACAUGCAUUUCUUAAAAAAAAAGAAGUGCCAUAAACUUGAGAAAUAAAACAUGGACAGAAGUGAGAAGUGCCAUAACCUUGGAUAAGUGAGUCAUUAGUUCUCUUAAUUACAUCAGCAAAAUAAUUGAUACACAUUGACAUCAAAAUACACAGAUCAUGUAUUAAUCCUUAGAAAUUUUCUUUACAUGGUUAAGCCAAAUUAGCCUCUCAGGUUACCACACGCACACACUCACACCAUUGACAUCAAAAUAUUCAAGCUGCAAGAAAAAUAUGAGCUAAUUGUUGCCAAAACAAGAACUGUUUUCUUUCUUUUUUCUCAGCACAAGUAUUCACUUAAUACUUAAACGUGGGAUGAAGAUUUAACACAAGAACUAGUACUAGAACUCUCAAUGUAUCUUUGAGCUACAGAUUAGGUUUAAAAAAAAGAACAGUCAAGUUACUUCAGUGACUUCUGAAAAAACAAUGGAAUACAAUGAACUAUAUAUCUCUAGUACGCACUAGCAGUAGCACACAGCACGCAAGAUUUAGACUUGCAGUUACAGAUAAGACACAGGCCGUUUAUAUCAUCUCUAGAAAUAAAAGCGUUGAAAUAUACAUAAGUGCAUAUAGUCACUGAACUCUCAAAUAUGAUAUACAACUGGAGCAAUAUCACUUUUAUUUUACAGAAAACAACACCAGUUUGUCCAGGCUGCAGAAUCCUUCAGCAGGAACAAGCAAAUUACUGAUAAAAUUCAGAACGUUACAUGCAUCAGCAUGCUCCAGGUACUACAGCAAAUCUAUAACAGAAUGAUAUGUAUAGUUAUGGAAUCUCUUCUAGGAAGCAGUGAUUGCCAGGACUCGAAUUGCAAACCACUGACCUUCUAUGUCUACUAAAUUUGGAUCUUGGAAGCAAGUAAUGGAAAGGGAGUAAGGAGACGUGGCAUCUCUUACUUUAUGAGGAUGUCAUAGUACUCAGGGAUCCAGAGAAUUGAACAUGCCGUCGCGGUGCACUACGCAACUGCAUUCAAACGACAUCAACAGUCAAGAAACCCAGAUUGAAUCCACGGAAAGAAACGAGACGAGCCAUAUAAUAAGAAGAAAAAAAAACAUUGCAUCGCUCGUCGUGGGUCUGGAGCAGCGACCCCUCGAGUGCCGUUUUUCCAAGGCCUCCACUGGCUUCAACCUACCCAAACACCGCAGAGAAAUGAGCAGGCGAAUCAAAAGCAGGGAGAGGUGGAGAGGGAAACAGGUGCGUACUGCAUAAGGAAGGUCUCGAUCUUUCGAGACUUCUGUUAGAUGCGGGUGAUGAUUGCCAGGUUCUCAUCCUCAUCCACGUCGGGUACGCCGCCGAAAAAGCCAUCCCGCCGGCGCUGGCGGCAUGGAGGGCAGGGUUGCCUGUGAACGACUGGAUCCGAUGAAUCAUCAGUGAACAAGGCCCGAUUCACACUUGUGCGCCCCCAGAUCUGAUUUGGGCUGCAGGGUGCUGGCCUAGUCCUCGUCCUCCACUGCAGAGAGAGAAGAGGAUGCGUGCGUGUGUGUUGCCCCUUGCCUGUUGCAGGCGUGGCGAGCGGCGGCGGGGGAUAGCCGCGCGCGGGAGGCGGCGGGGGAGCGGCGGCUGGGCAUGCGAGGGUGGACAAAGAAAAGGCUGCGCGUAGCUUUUUUGGGCCGGCCUGAUUGGGAUUUAGGGUUAGGGCUUUGCCGUGGGUCGAGUUAUGAGGCACUCGGCAAAGAGUCCCUUUACCGAGUGCCAGGCUAGACCCUCGGCAAAUUAAAUUUUUCUUUUUGCAUUUUUUAGUCAGUUUGUUUUAGUGGAAAAAUAUAUUAUUUGAAACUCAAUUUUAAAGUUGGUGCCAAUAUUGAUUUUUUCUAUAUUUUCUUAAUUUAUUUGUUUCGUUGAUUUUUUCGAAUAUUUUAGAUUUGAACUAAAUGUGUAUGGAAUAAUACAAUGUAGUGUUUUGAAAAAUGUUAUUCAUGUUAUUUGGUGUAUGUUGAGGCCCUAUCAACGAACUCGCAUUAAAUUUUACGCGUCUUCUUCGCAUAAUACGAGAAGUGACUUGUAGAAAAAGUGUUUUAAAUUUAUCUAAAGUCCAUACGAAGUCCGAAAAUCAUAAAACUUAUCGUGAUGUUAUGUUGUCCCAUGUGUAGGCUAUGGUAAAAAAUUGAGAAGGUUUCGAGCGAGUUAUGACAUCGGAUGCUUAAAACCCACACAUGGAGAUGUCUGCGUUUUAGGCAUUUGACAGCGCAACUUGCUUGAAACCUUCCCAAUUUUUUACCACAGCCUACACAUGGGAUAACAUGACACCUCGACGAGUUUCGUGAUUUUCAGACUUCGUAUGGAUUUUAUAUAAUUUUAAAACACUUAUUCCGCAAGUCGCUCGUCAUGUUACACGAAGAAGAUGCGCGAAAUUUGGUGCGAGUUCUUAGAUAGGGACUCAAAAUACACAAAAUACCAUGAGUAACAUUUUUGAAACACUACACUGCUUUAUUUUAUGCACUUGCAGUUGAAAUUUGAAAUAUCCGGAAAAAAUAAAGAAAAGAAUUAAACUAAGAAAAUAUAUUUAAUAAAGUCAAAAUUGCACCAAAUUUUAAAUUUGGGUUCAAAAUAACGUAUUUUAGAAACACAAAAAAAUGGGCUCAAAAAACUAAAAAAUAAAAAAAUCUUUGCCGAGUCGGCAAAGGGGGUCUUUGUCGAGGGCCAGACAUGGAGCCGUCGGCAAAGGAGGCCCUCGGCAAAGACUAGUUAUAAAAAGAACUUUUGGGACGAACAUUGAUUUUUUUUUAAAAAAAAACUUUGCCAAAGGCCUAACGGAUAGCCCUCGGCAAAGCCUAACGGGCUCUUGGCCGCCGUGACCCAACGGGCCAACUUUGACUAGGACGCCUUUGCCGAGGGUCACGGCCCUCGGCAAAGACAAUCUUUGCCGAGGGCCUACCUUUGCCGAAGGCUAGGCCUUUGGCAAAGGUCUCUUUGCCGAAGGCUAGUCUUUGCCGAGGGCUCCUGGGCCUGGCCCUCGGCAAAGGACGCUUUUUGUCCUAAAUAUGAAUUAUGGAUUGAUAGUUAUUGGGUCCUCUUUGGUAGGACUUUUGCUGAGGCUUCUCUAUCGACUUAUUUAAAUCCUACCAAACUCACAAAAGAAUUGCUUCUAAAGGCAAGAACAAUGAAACCCAAGUCAUGUUGGAGCCAAAAGCCGAAUCCACCAAAAUAUAGUUUUUCUUAGCUUCCCCAUUUUCAGAGAAGCCUAAUAAGUGUGUCUACAAUUUUAUUAAAAAUUUUUCUUACCUUGCGUGAAUCUAGAUAUGCAUAGGAGAGAAGUAAUAUCGAGAUUACGGCAAAUAUUCACUCGGUAUUUUGAUCUUAAAAUCGAUAAAGGCUUCCAUCAUUAUUUGGAUGGAUGUAGCCAGGUAGUCUGUUGCAGCUUUGCACGUCUGAUGGUCUGACAAGAGAACAGCUCACGUGACUAUUUCACUGAUCAAUCACUCUGUGUAAAACAUUACUCAUAUCAUAAUUUGGUUCUGUAAUCAUUUUUCUUAUAUAGCUUUAGUUUCUGUGAGGACUCUGACUUUUGGUAAGAAAGGAGAAGCACAAUUUGAUUUCUGUAAUCGCUCUAUGACUGAUUGAAACAAACAUUAUUGGGUCAUCUACAGAACAAUUGUCAAGAACACCAUUGCACUAACAAGUAUUCCUCUCGUUCUAUAUAUCCCUCAUCUAAAAUCAGUAACCGUGACAGCAUACUCCCUCCGUCUAAAAUAAAUACUUCUAAAAUUUCUACUGAAAUUCAAUGCAUUCUAUAUAAUGACUAUGUUUUUGAUUUGGCAAGGUUUGUUAAAAAGGAAGCCUAGAUUUGAGAAGAAACGCUAUAAUUGGAAUAAUCUAUGGGUAUAUGUGUUAUUUGAGUGUUCCCUUAAGUUGUCUUCAAAUUCAUAGAAAGCAUUGUAUUAUAGGACAGAGGGAGUCAGUUAAGAAACUCGUGAAACCGUAUAAAUCUAUAUCCUAAAGAGGCAAAAUUUCUGCCACAAUUUUUGUUCUAUUAUUUUUGUCUAGUCCUCACUAACAAACUAUGUGAAUGUCCAAACUGUUUGUAUUUUGUAUGUCUAUAACCCUCCUACUUUAUAUGCCUAGCUUAGACACCUAAAUAACUACGAAUCCUAAUCCAAAUAGGUUCCUUCCAUCUAAGUAAGCUGAAUAGAAAUCCUAAUUUAAAUAAAAAUAAAAAUAAAAAUAAAAAGUAGUAUGAAUCUUAUUUUGAUAUUAAAUCACAAAGAGUUUGCAUCCUUAUUUAUUCAUUCAUUUAUUCUUUUUUUCUAGACCCUAGUUAUAAAUGUAGAUGUUGACAAACACGAGCGCACACUCCGAAGAACUAAGUUGGACCAGCAAAUCUUGAGAUUGACGAAGUCACCACAGGUGCCUCGUUGUGGAGAGGCACGUCGCCUACCACUAAAAUCAUAACGCCGCUAAAUCCUAAAAUAAAUCUAGAAAAAUGUGAGCACCUGUGUCAAGUCGAGGACUUAAACCCGGGUGGACAGGUUCCACCACAGUAAACCGAAUCCUGAUGAAACCGUGGCAGUUGAGCUUACAUGGGUUGGGUUGGUUCCCGCUCUUAAGCCAGGAAAAGUUAUGCAGAAAACGAGCGGGCUGCAGAUAGAACCAAAAGUCCCCCCAAACUCACUGCACAACCCCCCGUGCUUCCCUCCCGUGACUACCGACGUCCCUGUUUAUAGGUUCCAAUAAAGCUUAUUUAUUACUGAGGCCUGGUUUACAUCCAAAUCUUUUUUGCAAAAAAGACAUCAUAGCAAUUUCGUUUGCAUUUACCGAGUGCCAGCCAUGUGCCGAGUGUGGCUUUCAGCAAAGAUGCUCUUUGCCGAGUGUCCAACUUUUGGCACUCGACAAAGCAUAUGAUACUCAGCAAAGUCCUGGUUUCCUAUAGUGUAAGGUAAAUUGUGCAAUUAGUUAUUUUUUUAAUUUAUAUUUAAUAUUUUAUGCAUGUACCGCAAGAUUUGAUGUGAUGGAGAAUUUAAAAAAUAUUGCAAAAUUUUUCAGGAACGACUAAACAAGGCUGAAUCGAGCUUCCUGGUGCGAUUUGAGUCCUUCCGCACCAAAUCGAGCCUCUAUUGUUUGAAUAAGGUCCGUCACUACAAGCAUUGCGCUUUUUUUUCCCAUGAGAUCGACUUUGUUCCAUGCCGAUCGAUUUUGUUCCUGGUCCGUCACUACAAUCAUAGAUCAUGCACUCCUCCAGGCGGUUAGAGAAAACUCUGAACACUGAAUGGCCAGGCUAUUUCUGAAUUUCCCAUACAGCUAUACCAAUUCCAAGAACCAGAGUCGUCCAGAGCAGCACCAUUAGCAACUAGAUCGCCCACUCCUCUUGCUCCGGUUGGCCAUACCUGGCCGCAGCAACGGCAUAGCAGUAUAGCAGUAGCACCCGAGCCCAUAACAGAACACAAGAAACACAAGCCCAAAAAACUGGAAGUUAGAUAAGAAAAUAAAGUUAGAGGCAGAUAGAAGGCCAAAUAAUGCAUACUUGCAUAUAUAUUGUACGAAAAUCAGUACCGCACCUGCAUGUUAACCCGUGCAUCAAUCGAGUUGAUCAGAUUCGCAGGGUGGGACGAUUGGGAUGGUUUUGUGCUGCAAGACGCAGCGCCUCCUUCGCUUGCUUCACUGCCUCCUUGGUGGCUCCUUCAGAUACGAACUCAAAGUUGAUACGUUGGAGAGAUGGCAGCUUCCCUAGUCCCAAACGGCUGCUGCUGCUGCCACCAGUGCCAGUUUCUCCCCCCAUCCUCACAUAGCAAAGGCUGAAAGAGAGCUCUCUGAGCCUGGGCAUAGCUCCUCGUCCAAAUACCACAGGCCAUGCGAACCUGCAGAACUCGCCGCGUACCAGGCAUGGGAACGAACCAGCACCAAAAGCCAACUGAUCAUGGUUCUUGUGGUUCUCGUGGUGCACCUCCAGAUCCAGAUAGCGAAGGGCUGGAAACCUCCCAAGGAAUUUGAGGUCAUCUAGCUCUAGCACAGUCAUGGCAAUGGAUACGGUGGUGAGACUCGCAACAAGCGACGGAUUCAUCAUCCAAGUCGGCAGCUUUGACAACCAGCAGCUCCGCCGUGUCUUCAGUGCACUGAGGUGUCGAGGGGCGACGUCGGCCCAGCAGUCAUCCAAUCCACCAAUGCUGCGUUCAUCGCUACCACCGGGGCCUUGGAUAGAUAGAGUGUGUUUGGUUGGGCUGCCAGGUUGAGUUUUGGCUAGGUUGGGCUAGAUUUCGCUUGUUUGGUUUGCAGGCCAGCCCAUCUAGCCAGGCUCCAAGAGGCCAUCCGUACAUCUGGAGCCAGGCCCAGAAAGAAACACGGGGUUGGUGUUUCUUCUGGGGCCUGGCUCCGUCCGGCUCCGCGUGCGGCCAGAGUGGUAGGCCUGCUUGGCCUCGGCCGACCGCCGAAUAAAAGGAGAAGUCUCACCGCUUGGCUAGGGUUUCGGGCUAGUGUUCACUCGUUUCCCCGCCCCGCCCAACGCCCAAACUCUCCUCACACCCGCCGCGAGACAUGCUCCGCCGCGCCGCCGCUGUGACGGCUACGCUCAAUGGCCGCGCGCGGCGGUUGCCUCCAUCUCAGGCGCCAAACCCACCAUCCGCAAGCCCCACUCCGACCCACACAUGUCGUGGUGUCGGCGCCGCCGCUCCUGCCGUGUCUGUGUGGCGCGCGGGGCUACAGCUACAGACGCAUGGCAUGGCGCAUCCCGAUGGCGAGGCCCGACGAGUACCCCAGCUCCGACGGCGAGGCGGAGGAUCCCGACGCGCGCGAGGCCGGGGAGAUCACGGAGCCCGUCGGCGGCGCGGGCGUGGAGGGCGACGACGACUCAGAGAGCAGCGAGGUGGAGGGGUUCAUGCUGGACUUGAGCUCCUUCCCCGGCUCCGGCGACGGCGACGAGGAGGGCACAGAAGAGGGAGGGAAGUAGCGAGGCGGGAUUUCGCUGUGGGGAGCUGGCGAAUCGAGCUUCGUCUCGGGGGGGAAGGGACGUUCGCUAGGUGCUCGUGGAAAUGCCCGUAUAGCGUUUUUAACAUUGGCUUUCGAACGAAGAACGGUUUUCAACAUUGGCUUUCAACACUGGAAGGUUUCCAUCUGAUAUCUGUAUAUGAUGGAAGAUGUAUUCCAGUUGAAUUCACUGCAUUUGAUUGCUAGAAUUUUGCGGUCCACAGACUAGUCGAUGAGCUCUGUUAACAGUCGAUGAGUAUCGAGACUGCAUUUGAUUGCUUCAAUGAGCUCUAACAGUCAAUGAGUAUCUAACUUUAUGCCCCCAUUGUGCUCUUCAAGCUUUCAACACCGGAAGGUUUCCAUCUGCAUAUGACCGAAGAUUAUUCAGUUCGCUGAAAAGAGAACUUUGAGAACAGGCUUACUUUCACGAGUCUUCAUGACGAAGAUUUAUAUCCUUCCAGUUGAAUGCAUUGUGUUUGUUUAUCGGAAAUCUGCAUUCCGCAGAUUAGUCUGAUCCAAGCUUAAAUAUUGUGAUGUCGGCUUUUUAUUACAGCGAAGCAAGGGAAGGGGUAAGGCUACCAGUUCACUCUUUGGGUGAAGCCACCAAACAGGAUCGCCAGCAACCAAACACCCAUAAGUCGGCUACACUAGGCUAGCCAAGUAGAAUUACAUCAAACCAAACACUUCAACAUACAAACCAGGCCAGCGAGAGCCUAGCAACCAAACAACCCCGUCUUGGCUACCUGGGGGCAGGUUCGGGCUGGCCUGGCUACAUUGGGCUAUCCAGGCUACCUGGGGCUACAAACCAAACACACCCAUAAAUUCUGUAUCUUUGUUAGCUUGCAUAAGCACUCCACUAACUUGUCUUCCCAUCUACCCAAGACGAUAUGUAGCACCCUCAGUUCAGAGAGCUGGCCCAACUCUUCUAUAAUGUCCACGCUCGACUUGUCGAUUCUUAAUUCUGACAGCUCUUCAAGGCAUGUUAGGUUCCUAAGUCCAUUUGGCAUUCUUGUCCACUUGUCAACCGAUAGGCACAUCAAAUUUCUUAGCUGAACAACAGAAGAUGGCAAGCAAGAAAUUUGAUUCUCCAUCACGUUCAGUGUUUGCAAAUUUUUCAAGUUUCCUAUUUUUUCUGGGAGCUGAGCAAUACCUGUGCGACUUAGACCUAAGUAUCUCAAGUAAAAUAAGUUACCAAUGUACGCAAGGCUGUAAUCUUGUGAAAGAGUACAGUUGUGUAAAUCUAGUACACGUAAAACUCUGAAACUCCAAAUGGCUGGAACUAGAUGAAUGCCAGAUGGAAAGACAACAGCUGACCUCACUUGUUGCAGCUGGUUCAGAGUAGCAGCAUGAUCUUCCUUGCCAUUUUGAAAGGAUAACCUCCGGGUCAUAUUUGAAGGAGAUGUGCCAUCUACAUCAGUUAGUAUAGUAACAAAGUUCUCUUCACUUGAUAAGGAACAAAUUAGAUCAAGUAUCAUAUCAUGUACACGGCAUUGUUUUAUCAAGCCAGUGUCUGUGUCAUGUAUGGGCUGAAUCAUACUUCUAUUUAUGAGCUCAUUGAAAUAACUCUCGCCGCAAGCAAAAAGGGUCCCCCAGUGUCUUCCAGACUGAAUAAAACCUUCAGCUAUCCACAUCCAUAUCAAACGGUUCUUGCUAAUUUUAUAAUCUUCUGGAAACACACUUAAAUAUAACAAGCAAGUCCUUAGAUGGUAUGGCAGAUCAAAAUAGCUGAAUGCUAAAAUCUUUCUCAUGUUCUCCAAAGCUGAGUUGUUUUCAAGACCAGUACCAACAGAUUUGCACACCUUACACCAUUCCAUUUUGUUUCUUGCUUUACAAGCCAACAGACUAGCCAUGGUAAUGAUAGCCAAGGGUACACCCGCACAUUUCUUCAAUAUUUUUUCAGAUACCUCCACCAGCUCAUCAGGACAUUUUUCAUUGUCUUCAUUGUUGUCUUUGCUGUCAGUUCCAAAUAUUCUUCGAUAAAGUAAUUUUCGGGAGUUGUUCAUAGAAAGUGGCUCUAAGUUGUAUGCACCACCAGCUUGUUUAGCGAUAUUGAGAAUACGGGUAGUUGUGAUGAUUUUAUUUCCAUAACAAUUAUCCGGCAGAGCACAUUUUAUCAUUUUCCAAGCGGUGAUGUCCCAUAUGUCAUCAAUAACAAUUAAGUAUCUGUGCACAGAAUACAAGAAAUCCAUGUUACUAUCGGAUUAAGCUAGUUAAGGUUAUAGUUUGCUUACCACGUACUAAGGGCAUUCACAAUGCAGACUCUAUCAUAGAGUCUAAAGUUAUUUAUUACCUCGAACAAUGUAGAUUUAGAGUCUAAAUAAGACUUGGAUUCUUAUUUUUUUCUACCUUUUUCUUUAAUAAAUAUGCUACCACAUCAGCAAAAUACCAUAAAUAAUAUGUAAUUAAUUGUCUUGGACUCUGUGAUAGAGUCUUGCAUUGUGAGUGCCCUAAGUCCACAUUGUUUAAGUUAAUAAAUAACUUUAGACUCUAUGAUAGAGUCUACAUUGUAAGUACCCUAAGAGGUAAAAGGUAAUAGCGUUAUAAUUUGAUGAAGCGUCUCCAUUUCCUCUCGCUUCCUUUGUUUAGUGUAGGUGACAAAACGGCUCUAUGACUUAGAGUGCAUUUGAUAGGAAUCUAGGUUCACAAUGAAGCAUUUUGGAUCUAGAUUCUCAAGAAACAUUUCAGAUAAUGAUUCAAAAUUACUUCAUCAUGAGAUUAUUUUGGCUAAUAGGCUGGAUUCUGAUUCAAAAAAAUGUUUUUAUAACAGCUAUAUAAAUGAAAAUACUCUCCCAAAAAAUGUUUUUAUAACAGCUAUCUAACCAUUUAUAGACACGGCUCCCAAAAAGUGUCUGACUCUAAUUCAUGAGUGGGCAUGUCUCCUAAAACCCUGCCAAGGAAGAUUUAAUUUUAUAUUCACUCUACGGAAUCUUAUAUUGAAACUGAGCUUUUAGACAAUCUUAAAUGAAAAUUUGUUAAACAUAAAGUUGUAGAUCAUGUUAAGUAUUAUUAGAACUCUAUAUAGAGCAUGUAUCCUCCCAGGUAGUUUGAACAAUUAAAAAGUAUCAAUUUAAAAAAUUGAGAAAUUCUCAUGAAUAUUAAGCUCUAAAAGAUCUAAGAUGAAAAGGUUGUUGGCUACAAAGUUAUAGAUCUUGUCAAGAUGUACCAUUUCGAUAUAAAGUUCACCUUCGUCUAAUUUGAUAUGACAAAGAUUACCAAUUUAUUUGGACGGAUUUUUUUUUCCAUGGGUGAUUCAUGUGUUGGGACCUCUCCAUUUCUGUGAUAAGAUAAAGUUGUAAAGUUCACCUUUCUCAACCGCAUGUAAAAAAAUGGAGAUGUGUCUAAAACAAUUACGGUGCAUGACAAUUUCCAAGAAAAAGAAACCAUAUUAUGAUGGGUAUGUUCAGAGAUGCUUUCGUACCUUUUCUUCUCGAGAAAUUCUCUGACCUCACUCAUAACUUGACUUCUUGCAUUCCUUUUCUUUGCAAGUUGAUAGAACAUGUCCUUGAGUAAUAUAUCCAUGUCAGGAGUCUGAGAUACCGAAACAUAGGCCGAGCAAUCAAAUCGUGAUCUAAGCUUUUCAUACACUGCAUUGGCAAGAGUUGUCUUCCCUAGACCACCAAUUCCAACAAUAGAAACUAUCGUACGUGUCUUGUUGCUGCCUACACACUUUUUCUUUUAGGGGAAAUUGUUGCCUACGCACUUCAUUGUCUUCUCCGAGAAUCUUGAUUACCUCUUCUCUUGCCUCGUCAAUGCCAAUAAGCUCUAUUGCCUCGUAGUAAGCCAACCAUCGAGGAUCGACUGUUACAGGCUUAGCAGCAUCAUUACUGACCUUGUACCGAUCACGUUGCUUGGCUACCUCUUCAACACGGCUCUUGAUGUCUCUGAUUUUUGUAGCAAUCUUACGACGAAUCUUGGGCUGCAUCAACCAUUCGAGGCACUUAUCAACGGCCUCCUUGAAACCAUGCUGUUUGACUAGCUUCUUCCCUUUGCAUCGAACCAUGAAUAUGUCAAGGCUGUCCUCUAUGUCGUAGGAGAGCUCCCUGACGUUUCUAGCCCAAAUCUUGUCCUGAUUGUCCAGCUUGUGUACUGGUGUAUUUGAGAUCUUCUCUAGAGCACCCUGCAUGCUCUCAAGCUCUGACACUAGGAACUUGAUCCCGCUCUUCACCUCCUUUUGCAGGUUGUACUCGCCAUGGAUCAGAUCAGCAAGCUUGGCGAGGAGGUUUGGUAGUGGCCCCGCUACAACCUCUGCCAUGGAUCUGCGAGGGCUGAAGCGACAAAUUUUGUUGUGUAUACGUGUGAGCUGUGUAUAGUAGGGGGAAACAUUAGUCAGGACAAACAUAUCAUAUCUUUAGUUGAAACAUAUUUUGGGGUUUUCAGCAAGUUUGAAAUGAUACACAUAAGUAGUGCAUUUAUAUAUGUGCUUGUCACAAAAAAGUUGAGUUUACAAACUAAAUCUAGAAAGGAAAAAGUCAUGUACACCUGUAGAUACAGUAUGCCAGUGCAUGUCGUUUAAAAUUUUAAUUUCUGAAAGUUCUUAAAUAUGUAUUUAUAGGUGUUUCAUGUGUCUGAUUGUUUUCUCGUGUUAGAUUAGAAUGGAAUCCAGUGAAAGAGAAAAACUCACCGGUCGCUUGUAGCUGAGAGUCGAGCCGCCCCCAACUUCUUCCGCCAAUCGAUCCUCCCCUUGCACCUUACUUGACUCCUAUCUAGUGCUUGUUCUGCCCGCUUUGAACAUGUACAAUGCGCGCAAGUUAUACUGCAUGCUUUAAAUAUAUAAUAUAGAAGAAAAAUGCAAGCAGCAACGUCCAAAUAAAUAAACUUUUCAUGUCUACUUGACCUAGAAAAUAUUGGCAAUAUUUAUAUUUUUAAAUAAUUUUACUAUAAAAAAAUAUAUUCAGUGAUUCAUCUAAUGGUAAUGAUUAUAUGUAGUAUAAAUAUUAAUAACUUUCUUAUAGAUAAUUGGUCAAAAUUGAUAAUGUUUUACUUCUCAAGUAAGAAUAACAUUUUCUAUGAAAUGGAGGGAGUGAUUUUUUUUUCAUUGUUCUCUAAUACUCACUAUUGGUGUGAUUGGUUGCCAUGACCAUAGAAACUAGUCCACACGUUCUGAACGAUGGAACAGUGCAUGGACUUAUUCCAAAGAAAUAGAUAGGAAGAUUCCUCUUCUACAGUUCUAGUAGAGGGCAACUAGAUGGAACAAUGCAUACAGGACUAAUUCUAAAGAAAUAGCCAGGAGAGUCCCCAUCUAGUCGUCUGCAUUGAGUAGUUUAUAUUUAUAUGUGGUUGUCCUUUGAUGGCCCUUCUGGCCCAUGGGUAAUUGUGUGUCUCUUUCCUAGUCCUCCAACAGGUUAAGGUUGUGUUUGGUUAAACUUCUGAAAAAAUAUUUUUCUGCUAAAAUUCAGAAAGUUAACCAAACAAGUUGCUUGUUGUUUAGAAGCAACUGCUUUCUUGUAGAACAGUUUCAGAAACACCUUGGACCCUGCUUUUGGCUUUCUGUGUUCCGAAAUAGGCAGGAACAGAGAGCUGUUUUAAGGGAGAGAAAAAAGGGUAGGUUUUAUAUUUGUUUCAACCAAACAGCUUACAACUUUUGUACAACAUAUAACUCACAGUAACUUUAUUAUAGCUUACAACAUCUUUUCACACAGCUUACAAUUUAACAAAAUAGAUCCUAAGUUUGUUUUCAUUUGCCUCGUUGUUAUGCUACUAGUGGUUUUUAGUUGUGUCACUGUGGUGUUUUUUUUAAAAAAAAAUCACAAACAACUCGUGGUGGUUGUUCUGAAAGUAUGUUCUACCAUGUGUUUUUUGUCGGGUUCCCCAAAUGAACCAUGGGCCACUUUUAUUAUUCUAGUAAAAUCUAAGGAAAGCUCUUUUCAUUCGAUGGCAAAAAAAAGCGUAAAACUCAUAAAUGAUACCUACACUUCACUGUGGCAUCUCCUCGGUCCACAACUCUUGAGUUAAAAUAUGUGGAUUGGAAGAUUGUAGAUUGGUGUCCACAACCCUUGAGUUAAGACAUGUUUCACCCUGGUAAAUAAUUCAGAAAAGUGGGGAAUAAGCAUCAGGAGAAUCUGAAGAGAAAAAGCACAAGUUGGUAAUUUUUACAUUUGUGGCACCUCACAGUGAUGAGGCCUUCCCUACUCUCAAGGACAUGAUAGUUGAGAUUAGAGAAGGACAACUUCAGAUUGCUUGGAACGCAUUCAUGUUUCGCUUUCGGAAAAAAUAAAUGGAUGCAAAUAAAAGACAGAAUUUAUCCCUGGAAAUGGGGAUAAACAGCAAAAAAUUCAGGUCCAUUCAAAAGCUUUUGCCGGCCGAAAUUUGCGUGCCUCUUCCAACGGCUAAGCGUGCCGUACUCAAUUUCAGGAAUGUCUGCUUGGACGCAUGUCGCGUGUGAAUUGUGCUGGCAAGUCGAGAUUCAUAAAGCUUAAAAUCCAAAGGAGUUUACAAUAUGUCUAAUAACUUUUUCAGAUAGAUAGAGAGAGCAUUUUAUAAUUAUUUGAAUCAAACAGUUUACAACUGUUUAGCAUCACAUAGCUUAUAGUAGCUUUUUCACAACUCACAGUUUAUAAUAACUUUUUCACAAUUCAUAGCUAAAUCAAACACACCCUAAGUGUGUUCAUAAUUUUACUAAAUUUUUGUUAUCAUGUGAAACUAGAUAUGAAUACGUGAAAAGUAAUUUUAAGAUUACGAUUGUAUCAACUCUAAUUUUAUCCCAAAAUUAAUAAAGACUUUCUUUAUAAAAAAAACUGCACAUCCCGCUGGACGUAGCCAGGUAGCCAGUUGCAGCUUUGCAGGUCUGAUGGUCCGAAUAAUUCCCAUUGCGAAUGCCGACAAGAGAACUGCUCACAUGACUCCUUCACUCUGUAAAGCAUUACUGAUAUCAUCAUUUGGGCCUUGUUUAGUUCCAAAAAUUUUUGCAAAACAGGUACUGUAGCACUUUCGUUUGUUUGUGACAAAUAUUGUCUAAUCAUAGACUAACUAGGCUCAAAAGAUUCAUCUCAUCAAUUCCGACCAAACUAUGUAAUUAGUUUUUAUUUUCGUCUAUAUUUAAUACUCCAUGCAUGCGUCUAAAGAUUCGAUGUGACGGGGAAUCUGAAAAAUUUUGCAAAAUUUUUUGGGAAGUAAACAAGGCCUUGGUUUCUGUUAUCAGUUUUCUCAGAUUUGGUUUCUGAAAGAACUCUGCUUUUCUAUUGAGGUAAGAAAAGUGCAAUUUUGUUUAUGUAAUCGCUCUACGAAUGAAACGAACAUUAUUGGGUCAUCUACAACACAAUUGUCAAGAACACCACUGCACUAACAAGUAUUCCUCUCAUUUUAUAUAUCCCUCAUCGAAAAUCAAUAACAGUUAAUUACCGAAGUUAAGCAACUCGUGAAACCAUGUAUAAAUUUGAUGAGAAAAGGCUUUGGUAAUUUUGCUUGAAUUAAUCCCAAAAUGUACACUCUCUACCCUGAUACCGGAAGUCUGAAAACUCUGAAAUCUGAAUGGCCAGGCUGUUUCUGAUCAUGCAUGUACAGUGAUCAGUGAAUUUCCUAUACGGCAAUACCAAAUCCAAGAACCAGAGUCCAGAGCAACACCAUUAGCAACUAGAUUGCACACUCCUCCUGGCGGUCACCACCGCCGUCAUCACUAAGGCACUCCAUGGCCGUAACAUGCCUGUCGUACAUCAUGGCUGGCUCCGGGUGCCCAUACCUCGCCGCAGCGACAGCAUAGCACCCAACUACCCAAGCACGUAACAGAACACAAGAAACACAAGCCCAAAGAACUGGAAGUUAGCGAGCUGCUCGGCGCGCUCCUGCGUGGCGCGUGCAAGGCACUCGAUGUGGCCAUCGGCAUCAGGUGCGCACACAACAGGGACAAGGGCGGAUCUAGAAUUUUCAUCCAUUGAUGUCACUAAGCUAUAAUCUUAUCAAACCUUCAUAAUCUUCUACUGUAAUAUGUUAGAUAUUAUAGUGGUACUUAUACGAAGUCAUUGAUGUCAUCAGGCAUCAAUGCUUAUACUGUAGAUCCACCCCUGGGCGGGGAGCAUGGGCCCGUAGAGCUUGAACACCGUCUGGUAGAACUAGAGCCCCUGCAGCGUCAUGAGCACGCCCAAGGCAAGGUCCACGGGGAAGCUCUCCGGCAGGAGCGCCCCAAGGACGGUGGCGACAAAGCAGAGGCCGACCAGCACAAUGAGGAGGUAGUGGUAGUAGACCUCUAGCCCAUGUGUGUCGCAGAGUGAUGUGUGUCAUACUCCACACAAGAAACAUAGCCCCCUCUUGUUAACAAUGGUUGUUGUCUUGCAGGGACAAAGGUUCCAGGAUGGCAAGAGAAACAAAAUGGCAAUAUGAUUGCACACCAUAAACAAAAGCCGGGAGGGUUCAGGCAUGAUUGCAAGGGAAAAAGGAUUAAGCAUAGAGAGAGGGACUGCACUCAUUCGGGUAAGAUCAAUCUUGCCCCCUGCCCCUAACAGCCCUCAAAUGCAAAACAGAGUCAGACUACACUUGGUACUGUACUUAGCAACAGUAACACACCGGCCCCCACCUCGCGCUUGUAGUAAUAAAGGUGAAAUAAAAGUAUUUCUAUCCAGCUCAACUAUGUAAUGUCAGAUGCCAAAAGCUUUUCAUUCAUUCACUCAUUCCGAGGAGGAUAUAUUUAAAAAACAGACUUAGUGGGCCAUACGACGUCAAUAAAUCAAGUCCAUUCAAAAUAAAACUAACUCCACUAGGUUAUAAUCCAUUGUCCAAGAGAUAAUGAAGAAGAUUCCCAUCGAAAGGAGCAAGAGCGGGGUGAGACCCAACAUGUAGGUCGGCUGCCCCCCCCCCCCCCCCCCGACCGACCUGUCGGCUUCAGGAUUGUUCAAUUGCCUCUAAGGAUGAAUCUCUACCAUCUAUCAAGGUCGGUUCGAAUGUAGAGUUGAGACGAAGCAUUGCCAUGGAUCCAUGGGUCCAUAUGGUGCCAGGUGCGCCUAUAAAAGGACCCCUAGACCCCCUCCAGAUAAGGAUCAUAGUUGAAGAGAAGAAUAGUCCUUCAUAGUAGGCUCUAUUCUUUGUACAUAGAAAAUAGUGAGAUAGAGAGUGAGGGAAGAGUUUGGAGGAGUACUGGGCUUGUCAGUGCUCUCUCUCUCUCUUCAACUUGGUGGUGGAUUCAGGUUAUGUCUAAGCCCGCAUCUGAGACAUCUCUGGUAAUUGAUUUUUGAUUCAAUGUAAGUAUUGUGCUCUUUUGUUCAUUAGGAUCAUGAAUCUUUGAGUGCUUUAAUCUAUGUUAAGCUCUUGGGUUAAAGUAGUAACUGUGUAAGAGUGGUCCUUAGACUUUCGGCUACUCGUGGAUGCACCCUACAUUAUGAAUCGUGUGGUAGUCUCUUGAUCAUCUAUAGUCCACCUCCUGUUUAUAGGCCUACCUGGAUGGCUGGACCUGUGUUGCGAUGGAAGAAGUAUAUUUCUUUAUACUCUUCCUUAGUAAUGUGCCUAGGUGAACACUAGAAUACAACUCUAUCUUAAAUUAGAAAUUAAUAACCUUAGAAGUUCUCUCUACACUCCUAUCUUUAACCUUGUUGCUAUCCCUAGUUAAGUUAGUCCAUUGUUAAUCUCACAUGUUUCUAUGUGGAUAUAAUACUUAUUCAAAAAGCUACUUCGAUUCCGUGCACUUGCAAUUUAUUCCAUGUGCCACCACAGGUGUCAACAUUCAUCAUCGUAUAUUAGGUGGACCAACAUAGUCGUCGAACACUCAUCUCACAAUCUCCCCAUAUGGACACCCGUAUCAUAUGGUGUCGAAAGCAUCAGACCUUGCCUAAUUUUGCUCCACCAUUAACGUGAGAAAUUUAACAACCUGGUACGGCCAUGCAAUAGAGUUCAACAACCUAUUACUGGCUAAACUUGUGGCGUGAUCUUACACACAUAUAAGUAGCAAAUAGAAGAGGUGGGCACCCAACAUAUAGUUUAGGCACAUAUUGGUUCACAAAAUAUUGUAUUGUUACAUAGAUUGACAUGCAACAGAGUUCAAAUGCAAAGGUUAUGUUGGUAAUUAAAUUUCAUCGCCGGCACUUUUGCUUUUUCGUCGAUGGGAUAAUAAGUACACUUCAAUUUUCAUGCAAUAAGGAGCCAGAUGUCCUAAUAACCAUGCAAUGACUAUUCUAAAAAUAUAACCAGCUACUUGUAUGAGUUGUACUCCAACUCUUGUCCCAAUAUAUUGAUAAACAAAUGUAACUGAACCAUUUACCAUUACCGUCCCUCCAACACUGUGACAGUCAUGUUAUUCAUGGAGCUAUUUGUAUUUUCUCCUGUUCCUUGAGCUUCUAAAUACCAUUGCGAGAAGUACAUGGGCUGUUUUGGGACUGAAAGUAACGUGGUUUCGUUCUCCAACAUGAACACAACUGUUGACAUAAGUGGCCUACUAUUCGGAUUGUCUUGCACACACAAGAGUCCUAUGUGGAUGCACCUCAAAGCUUCAUUUGCCGAACAACUUUCAAGAACAAAAGAGUCCACCAAAUCCAUUGCCUUGCCAUCAUUCCAUAAGCUCCAUGCCUGGACCAAUUCAAGAAAAUUCAUAGGAUAUCAACAGGUUUUAUUGUUUGAAUUAUAAAUUUGAAGAAUUCCAGCAUACUUACAUAAGCUAAUAGGCUAGGGAAGCUCGUGGAGUGAGUCGAAGUGAUUUUCAAACCGCUUAUGAUCUCCAAGAGUAUAACACCAAGGCUAUAUGUAUCAGACAUGACAGAAAAAGCUCCAUCCAUUGCAUAUUCAGGAGACAUGUAACCACUGAUGAAAACUAGUUAGCACUUAGCAGUAUGUGUGUAAAAAAUUUUUGGAUUGGUAUAGGAAAAAAGAUAACUGGACUGGAUAUGAUUACUUACUAUGUCCCAACAACUCGGUUAGUAUUUGCUUCUUGUUGGUUCCCUCCAAAGAUUCUUGCCAUACCAAAAUCUGAUAUCUUAGGGUUCAUAUCUGCAUCCAACAAUAUGUUGCUUGUUUUCAGAUCUCGGUGCACAAUUGUCAAUCUUGAAUCCUGGUGCAGAUAAAGAACUCCCCUUGAUAUUCCUUUGAUUAUCCUGAACCUUGUUGGCCAAUCAAGAACGUUUUUCCUUGCAGCAUCUAUAAACAUACAAUGGUAUUAUAAGUAAAGUAAGCAAGCAAAUUAGAGUAGUAGUACCUAUGACUGUUUGUCUUUUUUUUUCCUGUAUAAAAUACAGCUAGUUUAUACAUACCAAAAAUGAAGGAAUCCAAGCUUUUGUUUGGUAGAUAUUCGUAAAUUAGCAACUUCUCAUCUCCAUGAAUGCAGCAACCAAGGAGCCUAACAAGGUUCCUGUGCUGCAAUUUCGCAAUUAGAACUACCUCAUUUCUGAAUUCAUCUGUGCCUUGUCCAGAGCCCUGACUGAGCCUUUUGAUCGCGACCUCUCUGUUUUCGCCUAGAAUACCCUGCAUUAUUUCACCAUCGAUCAUUAAAUUGAACAAGCAACCUUAUAACUUCUGCUGGAUGCCAUGGUUGAAAAUAUUUAUUACCUUAUAAACUUUCCCGAAGCCUCCUUGCCCGAGCAUAUUGUCUUCAGCAAAAUUAUUUGUUGCAGAAACAAUAUCAUCAAAGCUAAAAAACGGAAGGUCGAGAUUUUCAUCACCAAGUGUAUUUGUCUCAUCCAAGUGUCCUAGCAUCAUCUUCUUAUGGAUAUCCAUGUUUCGUCGUUUGCCUAACAGAAAUGUUAAUGUUUUUGUUCAGUUUCAGUAUGAAUCACCAUUGACUUCCGAGUAGUGAAGUGAGUGGGUUCUACAACUUCUACCUCUAAGCUUGCGCCUGCACCAUACCCAGACAAAGAACAUCCCCAUGAGGGCAAGCAGACAUGUCGUAACUGGCAGCAAGAUUAUUAGUACCACAUUCCUCUUCUUCUCAACUGCAGAAAUAUGCAUGUUGCACCAUGAGAAUAUAUAUAGAUGAUGAUGAAACUUACUCAUGAUUUCAAUUCACACUAGCUAGGAGAUGCAUCUGUGCUUACCUAAUUCAGACUUUGCUAACCUCAGGUACAUAUCCUGCCCUUUGUCAAUGUAUCGAACAUCCACGAUCGCAUCCGUCCACAUGACGCAGCCAUGGUCACCGCCUCGGAUGUCGGCGGCGGCGUAGGCCACGCAAGCGCAGUUGGCGAGGCACCUCUCCCUGCACUGCUCCAGCGUCACGCCCAUGUCCACCGUUGUGUUGUCCGUGUCCGGCAGCUUCACCGCCCGCACCAUCUUGAACCCGUCUGUCGUCGUCCCGUUGCCGCACUCCAGCGGCACGUCCCUCCGGCACCCGCCAUGGGUCUCCCUCAUGGACCACUGAGACGGGUUCACGGGGCUGAACCCCACGGCGCAGCUGCAGAACAUCGUGGACGCCGUGUUCAUGUUGCACAGCCCGAACGCGCCGCACAUGGCGUAGUUGUCGCAGACGUCCCUCGGCGCCUCCGCGAACGAGGUCCACACCAGGCUCACCGGAUCCCACCCCAGCCGGUGCAUCACGCCGUUCUCAUUCAGCAGUAGCCUGGAGAUCGGCGCGCCGGCCGUGGUGUUGAAGGAGUACGCGAUCUCGUCGGCGCCGACGACGAGCUGGUUGGAGUACAGGUCCAAGUACGACGCCAUCUCCGGGAUGCCGCUGAACCACUGCCCGUUCCAGGGCCCCGUCCGGUACAUCUUGACGUUGCCAUGCCAAGUUAUGGUGUCCGGGAGGCCCCUGGUGUCCAGGGAACGCCAGUAGUCUCCGGGCGCCGGGUCGUUGGACGCACGCCACGACGUCGUGGUCCACUCAGCGCCAGUCCGGAGGUUCUUGCCGAAUUUCAUGCCGGCGAGGUAGGUGUUCCCCGGGUGAUCGAACCACUGCCAUAGCACGUCGCCGGUGCUCUGAUCGCGAACGACUAGGUUGCCAGAAUCGAGGAGCUGUGCCUGCGGCAGCACGACAGGUGGAGGAGGAGCGGAACUCGUCGUCGUGGUGGAACUGGAAGAAGACCACGCGGUGUGGCCAGAGCCGUCGAGAAGGCGAAGGGUGCCGGUGCUGUCGUCGACGACCAGCACGCCUGAGGUGUUGUUGAGGGGUGUUUCUUGGUUGGCCACCCAACAGAUGGCCUCUGGUGACAUGGUGAACCAGACGCCAAGAUAUCUCUUGGCUGGCACGCCGGCCGGGGAGAAGAAGCCCAAGGUGAAGGAGCUGCCGGAUGAGACCAACGUCUCGCCAUCGGUGAUGUUGCUGCUGCUGCUGAGUGUGUCAGAUGGAGUGCCGGCGGCCGAGGCUUUGAGCAAAAGCAAGAACACGGUGAAGAUCACGGUGAGAAGGUACGACGACAGAAGUCUUGUCAUCCCGCCUCCCCGUCGCCAGUACUAGUGAUGAUGUUUGUUGCAGUACGUAGCUCAAGAAAUUUCAUAGUACGGGCGAUAUGUAUCGAUAUAGUAUUAUGAUCACGUUGGUGCUCGCUUAGUUUAUUAGUUGCAUAUUUAAUUUAGCACCAAUGAUACAUUCAUACCAAAACUGUCACAUUCAUUAACUUGGUCAAUUACGGCAUGUUUAUAAUUUAUUAACUAGCCUAUUAUUUUUUUGAGGUAACUAUUAACUAGCUUAUUUGUCUACAUUCUUACGAGUCUAGUGGUUGAAAGCGAUGGUCUUAUUAAAAGUCUACGGAUGACUGACCGACCGAGUACUGCCGAGAGCCCAGAUGUUGAAAUGGUGACUUCCAGUCUUCCACCCAACCCCCAUAUGUUGAAAUGGUGACUUCCAGUCUUCCACCCAACCCCCAUAUGUCUCCAAAGAAAAUUCUAUGCGACGACGGUACGGAGUCAUGCAUGCCGUGCGACAUCUCCCGAUCGAAUGGCAAAACAUGUCCGCAUGCCGAGAUGAGAGUGUCUUUGAGUGGAAAAGAGUGGCUUUGUACACUGCAGAAUGAGGCAUUGGUCGAUGUUCAAAAUGGCCAAAAACCUCAGCCUUUUUGCCGCCCGGGUUAAAGACCCCUUAACACCGGUUCGUAACACGAACCGGUGCUAAAGGGUCCUGCCCAACGGCUACUGACAUGUGCUGUCGGGGCGGAGACCCUUUAGCACCGGUUCGUAUUACAAACCGGUGCUAAAGGGGUCCCUUUAGCACCGGCCAGAGCCACGGGCCGAGGCAAACCCUUUAGCACCGGUUUUUGUUACAAACCGGUGCUAAAGGGUAACCCUUUAGCACCGGUUUUUGCCCUGAACCGGUGCUAAAGUUCCGGUUUAUAGGCCGGCUCCCUCCUCCCCUCUGCCCAUUUGAAACCGAGAGCACCAUUGUUGUUGUUGGAGCUUUUUCUUGCUUGUUCUUCAUUUGUUCUUCAUCUCCAACGCCUAUCGUAGAUCUUCUUCGACUCCGUCAUCGUCUCUUCGUGCUUGGAGGUGACUAACUUUUGUCUUUCUUGUCUUUUCAUGUUGUUUUUGGCUUGUGAUGUUCGCAUUAUUUUUAGCUCAAAUCCACGUUGUUAUUUUGAAUCAUUCACAUGAAUUAGUAUCCAUAUAUAUAUAUAUAUCAUAUUUCAUGGUUGACCUAGUAUUAAUGUAGUUUGCAAGAAUGAAUUAUAGUAUAUUUUUAUGAUCUUAGAAAGUAGGAUAGUUCAAAUUAAUUGGUUUGUUAAUAUCACUUGAUUUAUUUUUAUUACUACAUAUAAUGUCCAUUGUAUCAUACAUGUUUACUAGUAAAUGUGGAAUUUAUAAUUGUUUAAAAAUUGAGUAUGGAUAGUAGAUGGCAACCGUGACCGGUUCUUCGGUCUCUCAACGGGUUCAAAAGCGAUACCGUCCAGAACUCCCUCUCAUUACUUGUGGCAAGUAUGGGCAGAAGAUUUUGAUGGAGUACAAAGUGUCGAAAGAGGGAGUAAACAAGGGUCGUAUAUUCUACAAGUGUCCAGAUCGUAAUGUGAGUUAUUUCCAGACAUUUGCUUAUAUAUGUGCAUAUUUUUUUAAAUGAUAUUAAUUAAACUUUUGAUUCUCUCUUUUAAUUUCAGUGGGACGGUACCGGCGGAUGUACAGGUUGGUACUGGGAGGAAGAAUACAUUGAACACAUUAAGAAAUCUUUUGCACAGGUGGUUGAGGCUGAAGGUGGUGAGGCAGUGAGCCGACGAAAGUAGUUCAACGAUGUUGAUCAAGCGAAUGAUCUAUCUAUUAUAGUUGGGAUCGGACGCGAACUAAUUAUGUUGCUUAAGUGCAUUUUAGUUUUGAUUUUUUUAGUGCUAGUUGCGAUUGUAUUUGUUGUAGCCAAGCUUUCCUAAAUUAAUCAACUAUGUAUCUUAGACAUGUUGUGCAAUAAGAUGAGAAACUAUAUGUGUGUAUUUUUUUCAUAAUAUAUAUGUUAUAUUUAAUGUAGAUGGUAACACGUAAUUGGAUGUAUAAUGCCGAUCGGCGCUCCGAAGAGUUCAUUAAUGGCGUGCACUAUUUCUUAAGUGUGGCCGAGUCAAAUAAGAGGGACGGUUUCAUGUGCUGUCCAUGUGUCGUGUGCAAGAAUUUGACGGAAUAUUCUAACUCAAGAACUCUUCAUUCAUACUUAUUAAAGUCAGGUUUCGUACCAAACUACAUUUGUUGGACCAAACAUGGAGAAAGCGGGAUUAUAAUGGAUGAAGGUGAAGAAGAAGAAGAAGAAGAAUUGGACCAUGCCAAUAUUAUUGCUCAGUACGGUGGCUUCAAUGAUGUUGCAAUGGGGGGAGAUAAUGAAGAAGAGGUGGCGGCAGAAGAUGAUCGGGGCGAUGAUGCUUUUGGUGAUGCCAUCCGUGAUGCACAAAGAGAAUGUGAAAGUGAUAAAGAGAAAGCCAAGUUCGAGCGCAUGCUAGAGGACCACAGGAAAUCGCUAUAUCCCACCGCUGAAGAGGGGCAAAAAAAGUUGGGUACCACACUAGAAUUGCUGCAAUGGAAGGCAAAGAAUGGUACAUCUGACAAGGCAUUUGGGCAGUUAUUGAAGAUCAUAAAAAAGAUGCUUCCGAAAGACAACGAAUUGCCCACCACUACGUAUGAAGCAAAACAGGUUGUCUGUCCUUUGGGAUUAGAAAUCCAGAAGAUACACGCAUGUCCUAAUGACUGCAUCCUCUACCGUGGGGAGGAAUACGAGAAUUUGGAUGCAUGUCCAGUAUGUAAGGCAUCACGGUAUAAGAUUAGACGAGAUGAUCCUGGCGAUGUUGAGGGUUUAGAACGUCAUAGAAAGAAAAUUCCAGCCAAGGUUAUGUGGUAUGCUCCUAUAAUACCACGAUUAAAACGUCUGUUCAGAAAUAAGGACAAUGUAAAGUUGUUGCGGUGGCAUAAAGAAGACCGUAAGAUAGACAAUAUGCUGAGACACCCUGCCGAUGGAUCCCAGUGGAGAGCGAUAGACAGAGAAUUCCCAGAUUUUGCAGAUGAUGCUAGAAACUUGCGGUUCGCCUUAAGUACAGAUGGUAUGAAUCCUUUCGGUGAGUAGAGCAGUAGUCACAGUACUUGGCCAGUUACUCUAUGUAUCUACAACCUUCCUCCAUGGCUAUGCAUGAAGCGGAAGUUUAUUAUGAUGCCGGUGCUUAUCCAAGGACCGAAGCAACCUGGUAAUGACAUAGAUGUCUACCUAAGGCCAUUAGUUGAGGAACUUCAACUUUUAUGGAGCAAACCAGGAGUUCGCGUGUGUAAUGAGUACAAACAAGAGCACUUUGACCUGCGAGCAUUGCUGUGUGUAACAAUCAAUGAUUGGCCAGCUCUGAGUAAUCUUUCAGGCCAAUCAAACAAGGGAUAUAAUGCAUGCACACAUUGUUAUGAAGACCUUGACUGUGUAUUUUUGAAAAAAUGUCAAAAGGUCGUGUACCUUGGCCACCGUCGGUUUCUUCCUGUGAACCACCCAGUACGAAAGAAAGGCAAGCAUUUUAAAGGCAAGGCAGACCACCGGACCAAACCUCUCAAUCGAACCGGGGAUGAUGUACUCGAAAUGGUCAAGGAUAUAAAAGUGGUAUUUGGAAAGGGACGAGGCAGCGAACCUAUUCCCAAGGAUGCUAAGGGACACGUACCCAUGUGGAAGAAGAAAUCCAUAUUUUGGGAGCUACCUUACUGGAAUGUCCUAGAGGUCCGCAACGCGAUCGACGUGAUGCACCUGACAAAGAAUCUUUGUGUGAACUUGCUCGGAUUCAUGGGUGUCUAUGGGAAGUCUAAGGAUUCACUUGAAGCACGACAAGACUUGCAGCGCAUGAAAGAAUGAGACAACCUGCAUCCAAAAAAGACAGAUGAUGGAUGUCAUUACUUAAGCCCUGCUAGCUACACUCUGAGCAAAGAAGAGAAGGAAAGCAUGUUUGAAUGUCUUAGCAGCAUCAAGGUCCCAUCUGGAUUCUCCUCCAAUAUCAAGGGAAUAAUUAAUGUGCCAGAGAAGAAAUUCCUGAACUUGAAGUCCCAUGACUGUCACGUUCUAAUGACGCAAUUGCUGCCGGUCGUUUUAAGAGGAAUUCUACCUCCACACGUACGUCUAGCCACCGUAAAGCUAUGUGCAUUCCUCAAUGCAAUUUCUCAGAAGGCAAUCAAUCCAGAGCAACUAGCUACUCUGCAGAAUGAUGUCGUUCAAUGUCUCGUCAGCUUUGAGUUGGUGUUCCCUCCAUCCUUCUUCGAUAUCAUGACACACCUUCUAGUUCAUCUGGUCAAAGAGAUUCGUAUUCUCAGUCCUGUGUUCCUACACAACAUGUUCCCCUUCGAGAGAUUCAUGGGUGUCCUAAAGAAAUAUGUCCAUAGUCGUUCCCGGCCAGAAGGAAGCAUUGCCAAGGGCUACGGAACAGAGGAGGUCAUAGAGUUCUGUGUUGAAUUUAUUCCAGACCUUGACCCAAUUGGCAUUCCUGAAUCUCGACACGAGGGCAGACUCAGCGGAAAGGGAACACUUGGGAAGAAAACAUAUAUUGAUACGGGAAACGAUUACUUCAAUAAAGCACACUACACAGUUCUCCAAAACUCCUCAUUGGUGGAACCAUAUGUUGAGGUACACAAAGAUUUCCUACGGUCCUAGUGGCCCGGGAAUAAUGAAGCUUGGAUAAUGCGUCAGCACAUGGAAACUUUUGGCGAUUGGUUGCGCAAAAAAUGUCAAGGUGAUGAAAAUAUUGAUGAGCAACUUUAUUUGUUGGCCAGGCAACCAUCAUGGCAUGUCCUCACAUACAAAGGGUACGAGAUAAAUGGUAACACAUUUUACACAGUUGGCCAAGAUAAAAGGAGCACCAACCAAAAUAGUGGUGUACGCGUGGAUGCCACGGAUCCAAAUGGGAACAGACAAACAUAUUAUGGACGCAUAGAAGACAUAUGGGAACUAGUCUAUGCAGCUAAUUUUAAAGUUCCUUUGUUCCGGUGCCAAUGGGUGAAGAUGACCGGAGGUGGGGUAACAGUCGACAAGGAGUAUGGGAUGACAACCGUGGACCUUAACAAUAGUGGGUUCAAAAACGAACCAUUCGUCCUUGCUGCAGACGUGAGUCAGGUGUUCUAUGUCAAAGAUAUGUCUACGAAACCAAAGAGAGGAAAAAAUGAUGACCACUCAAUCAUCAAUGAGCCAAAGCGCCACAUUGUCCUUUCUGGGAAAAGAAACAUUGUCGGAAUUGAGGACAAGUCAGACAUGUCAGGCGAUUACGAAAGGGAUGAUCGAAUUCCGCCCUUCAUAGUAAACAAAGACCCAAGCAUUCUGUUAAACAAUGAGGAUACUCCAUGGUUACGGCAGGAUCAUAACCAAGGGUCAUACGUCAAGAAGAAGUUCACUGUUGUGUCGGCUUGACUUUGUAUGAAACUAUAUUUGAGAAUUGUGAAUUUUGAUGUGUGUAACAAACUUUGUAUUCAUGACUUUGUAUUCAAGACCAUCUAGGGUUCCGAAACCGCUGCGUGGCUAUGAGUUCUAUGAAAAUUCAAAAUUCAGUGGUUCAAACUUUUCCAAAUGAAAAGUUGACCAUUAGACAAAAUGCAGAACUUGAUGAGUGUAGCAAACUUUGUAUUCAUGACUUUUCCAUUUGGGACAAUCUAGGGUUCGGUCAAAGGGUGUGUUUGUAAAAACCAAUGCUUUGACUUUGGUCAAACUUGGUCAAAUGGCCCAUUUGAUGACUUCAAAUGAAAAAAGUUUGAAUACAUAGUUGUUAGAGAUCAUCAAGAUCUAUAUUUUAUAUAUUGUCCAUUUUUCCAUUUGGAUAAUUUUGAGCCAAUCCUAAUUACAUUUCUAUAAAAUCCAAGACGGGUUUUGGUCAAACUUGGUCAAAUGACAAACUAAAUUACUUCAAAUGAAAAUAUUUUGAAUACCAAGUUGUUAGAUAUCUUCAAGAUCUAAACUUUUUAUAUACACAACUUUUCCAUUUGAGAAAGUCUACGUUAACAAUACCCACAAAUUCUUGAAUCUCACACAAACUAUAUGAAACUAUAUGUGUCAACUGUGGAUUCUCAACUACACCUUUCCAAAACUUUCUCAAAUGCAAAAAAGGUCUAUAUAUGAAAUGUAGAUUAUGAUGAGUGGAACAAUAUUGGUAUUCAUGACUUUUCCAUUCGAGACCAUCUAGGGUUCCGAAACCGCUGCGUGGCUAUGAGUUCUAUGAAAAUUCAAAAUUCAGUGGUUCAAACUUUUCCAAAUGAAAAGUUGACCAUUAGACAAAAUGUAGAACUUGAUAAGUGUAGCAAACUUUGUAUUCAUGACUUUUCCAUUUGGGACAAUCUAGGGUUCGGUCAAUGGGUGUUUUUGUAAAAACCAAUGCUUUGACUUUGGUCAAACUUGAUCGAAUGGCCCAUUUGAUGACUUCAAAUGAAACAAUUUUGAAUAUAAAGUUGUUAGAGAUCAUUAAGAUCUACAUUUUAUAUAUUGUUCAUUUUUCCAUUUGGAUAUGUUUGAGCCAAUCCUAAGCACAUUUCUUUAAAAUCCAAGACGAGUUUUGGUCAAACUUGGUCAAAUGACAAACUAAAUUACUUAAAAUGAAAAACUUUUGAAUACCAAGUUGUUAGAUAUCAUCAAGAUCUAAACUUUUUAUAUACACAACUUUUCCAUUUGAGAAAGUUUAAGUUAACAAUACCCACCAAAUCUUGAAUCUCACACAAACUAUAUGAAACUAUAUGUGUCAAUUGUGGAUUUUCAACUACACCUUCCCAAAACUUUCUCAAAUGAAAAAAUGGUAUAUAUAUGAAAUGUAGAGUUUGAUGAGUGGAACAAUAUUGGUAUUUAUGACUUUUCCAUUCGAGACCAUCUAGGGUUCCGAAACCGCUGCGUGGCUAUGAAUUCUCUGAAAAUUCAAAAUUCAGUGGUUCAAACUUUUCCAAAUGAAAAGUUGACCAUUAGACAAAAUGUACAACUUGAUGAGUGUAACAAACUUUGUAUUCAUGACUUUUCCAUUUGGGACCAUUUAGGGUUUGGUCAAAGGGUGUGUUCAUCAAGAUAUAUAUUUUUAUAUGAUAAAUAGAAUUUUUAUUUGAUUUAAACUAUACCCUACUACCGUUCCGAGUAAUAAAUAACAAAAAUAAAAAGUUUAACGUCAAUAUGAUGUGAAAAUAGAUUUCUAAUUGAUUGGAUAAAUUUUUUGUAAAUUUAUUGGAAUAAUAUAUUUUUGCAUUAACAAAAUACUAAACAUUUCUUGCAAAAUCAUUACAAAUUAUAAAUAUACAGCAAGAUAUUUAAGGUUAAAAAUUUUCAUGUGUACAUUAAAAAAAUUACAAUAUAUGUCACUGUUUAAAAAAUAUUAUGCAAAAUAUUUAAUUUACUAUACAAUUUAUAAUAUAAACUGUAUAUAUAAACACUUUAAAAUGACCUAAAGUAAAAAACAGGGCCUUUAGCACCGGCCCAUAGUGGGAACCGGUGCUAAAGGGUCCUGAAAAUUUUCAGGACCCCGCCCGAGCCCGCCUAGGACCCUUUAGCACCGGUCCGUGGCUGUAACCGGUGCUAAAGGGUCCCUUUAACACCGGCUGGUGUUACGCGCCGGUGUUAAAGGGGGGCCCUUUAACACCGGCGCGUAACACCAGUCGGUGUUAAAGGCCCUUUAGCACCGGUUCCAGCCACGGACCGGUGCUAAAGGGUCCGCCCCUAUUUAAGUCAUGGGCAUCCUGGAUCUGAGCAGUUCUUCGUCUUCGUCGAGUUCAUCGUCUCCAGCGCCGCCGCCCGUUCAUCUGCCCGCGUGCGACCUCGUCAAUCUCCAGCGCCGCCGUCUCCAGCGCCGCCGCGGCCAGCUCCGGCCACCAGCGCCGCCGCCGCGGGCACCAUCUCCAGCGCCGCCGCCGCCGCGCCGUCUGCAGCGCCGGCCGCCACCAUCUCCGGCCACCGAUCAUCGAACUCCGCCGCGUCGUCUCAGAUCUACAUCCUCUACGUAUACACUAAAUUGAUCUCCAACAGUUUAUAUAUAUAAUCUGCAGAAUGAUGAAUGAAUGUAUAUUAGUUUUUAGUGUAUAUAUAUAUAUAUAUAUAUAUAUAUAUAUAAUCUGCAGAAUGAAUGAAUGUAUAUUAGUUUUUAGUAUAAUAUAUAUAUAUAAUCUGCAGAAUGAAAUGUAUAUUAGUUUUUAGUAUAUUAUAUAUAUAUAUAUAUUAGUUUUUAAUUAGUAUAUUAGUAUAAGUGUAGUGUUGACCUGUUAUUAUAAAUUAUAUUAUGCUAGUAUAUAUUUGUAAUAUAUUAAUAUUAUUCUUGUAUUAUUAUGUAGUAUUAUUUUUUUAGUAUAUUAUUUGUAGUAUUAUUUUUUAGUAUAUAUUUAUAGUAUAUUAUUCUUGUAUUAUUCUUGUAUCAUAUUUUAUUUUCUAGUGUUUUGUAUAUAUUAUUGUUUGUACUAUUAUUCUAGUAUUAUUCUUUUAGUAUAUUAUUCUAGUGUAUUACUAGGCUUAAGAUUCUAGUAUUAUUUUUUAGAGCACUCCAACACUUUCAUUAUUCUUGUAGUAUUCUUGUAAUAUAUAUUCUUAUAGUAUUUUUAGUAUAUAUUUGUAGUAUAUUAUUCUUGUAUUAUUCUUGUAUCAUAUUUUAUUUUCUAGUGUGUUGUAUAUAUUAUUGUUUGUACUAUUAUUCUAGUAUUGUUUUUUAGUAUAUUAUUCUAGUGUAUUACUUGGCUUAAAAGAUUCUAGUAUUAUUUUUAGAGCACUCCAAUUUGUAGUAGUAUAUAAGUCUCUAAUAUAUAUUCUAGUAGUGUUUAGCCACCAAAUUUAUUCUAGGUUUUGUAUAUAUUAUUGUUUGUACUAUUAUUCUAGUAUUGUUUUUUAGUAUAUUAUUCUAGUGUAUUUCUUAUCUUAUAUAGAAUAUAUAUAUAUGUAUGGUUGCAGACAUAGAAAUGGCUGACCGUCCUCAUGAUGAUCCUUAUUAUAUGGAAGAUGCCAUUCAAAAUAUGAUCGACGACGGUGGUCAGUACUUUGUUGAUUACCACGAGAUCAUGCAAGGCAAUCGUACUGAGCAACAAGAGAGCAAUGCCCCUGAGCAACAAGAGGGCAAUGCCCCUGAGCAACAACUUGUCGUGCAAUAAGAAGAAAAUACUGGCGAGGUAUGUAAAUGUAAACAUAUAUAAUUAAUGCAUCUCUGACAUUAGGUUUUAGACUUAUUAAUUGGUUAUUAAUUUAGUAUUUUUGUUCCUAUAUCUACGUGUAGCCUUCUGGAUCGACCUCUACAGGGAGAAGCGUACCUCCACGAGGGCCAAAGAAGCCGUUGGAGGGCCGCUAUGUAAUCUCUGAGUUUGAGAUAGCUACAGGCAGACCACUUGGUGAGCAUGCAAAUAAAUAUGUUAGUCACUGUGGAUAUCUUGUGAGAGAUCAAAUACCGAUCAGUGCUCGUGAAUGGAGAGAGAAGCGAGGUGCUCCUGAGAUCAAUUUUGUCUCUAAUCGUGACAAGGAGUUAGUUUGGAAAGCCGUCACAGACGUUUUCACCUUCGACACCAACGAUGAAGAGUUGAAGGUGCGAAUUUAUGACUGGACUACGAAGAAGAUGGCAGUACUCUUCCAGAAUUGGAAGAAGUCUUUGUACAAUAAAUAUGUCAAGAAAAACAAGACUCCAAAUUUCAACCUCAAGCAAUAUGUAAAGCUGAGGGCCUUCUGGGAUGACUUUGUGCAGUACAAAACAUCAGAAGAGGGCGAGGAACGAGCCAAUAGAAACAAAGAGAAUGCCAGUAAAAAGACAUACCACCAUCAUAUGGGAUCAGGUGGUUAUAAGAGUACUGUUCCCAAGUGGGACCGAAUGGAACAGGAGAUGCUUGCUAGGAGGGUCACACCCGAGACAAUAGCAAAGAAUUGGAGCGAGCGCUCCAAGCAUUGGUUCUACGGUCAUGGGGGAAGCGUGGACCCAGACACCGGAGCGCUAGUUUGGGGCCAAGAAAUCUCUAGAGCAGCAGAGAGACUAGUCCGUGCACGAGAGGCGGUUCAGUCUGGUGAGUUCAGGCCUAAUAGGGAGAAGGAUGAACUCACCUAUUCGCUUGAAAAUCUUGAGCACGGUGGGUGUACGAGAGGCUAUGGGGCAGUUCCGUGGCUGCAAUCAUUCCAAGCCGAUCAAGAUACCUACAGAAGCCGCCAGAGAAAGAAGGAUGAGGAGGCAGAGCGGAUCCGCCACCUGGAAGCUUUUGUUCUGCAGUCACAAGAGCGCGAGAAAGCUCGUGAAGAAUGGAUGCAGGCAGAGAUUCAAAGGCAAGUGCAAGCAGCACUUAGUCAAAUGACGAAAGGGCAAGGUACAUCACAACCUGAGGUCAAUGUUAGCCCCCCAGGCCAGUUGAAAAGCAGCUGCGCAUCCACGGAAGUACCAACCAUUCAGGAUGACACGAAGCUACACUUCCCCGUGGAUGAUGUCACAGAGGCUUUUACUACCUGUGAGCUGCAUGUACCAGAUGGGAAUGCCACCAAAAAGGUGGCUAUCGCUGUUGUCAACCCUAUCGACCGAACGAGAACUCCAAGAAUCCAUAAUCGACCAGUACCUGGUGGAUAUGCUAGCGUCUCGGUUGAUAGGGUUGAGAAAGGUUGUGGCAAUGUGCCACUAGACAUAGAAGGGGGAGACGGAGAGAAGACCUUAGGUGAAGCUGAGAAGACAUUUAUUUGUUGGCGCAAGCGCUUCAUAAUUAUUCCUCAGCAUAGGUUUGUGUGUGAUUUUACUUCUUAUAUUAUUUAUUAUGUAUUGAAAUUAAAAAAAAGUUUGCUCACAAAACUUGUAAUUGUUUUCUUUGCAGGGACUCCUCCAACCUAAGUCCAGUUCUCUCCCCAGCGCAUCAUAGUGCUGCGGGCGGUGACAAUGCUGGAUCUCCUCCAACACCUGCGGUGGCCACACCGACCCCGCCACCGCCUCCACCACGGUCUCCACCUCCACCGAGGUCUCCAACUCCUCCACCGCGUUCUCCAACGCCAAAAAGAUCGGCCCCACCACCUCCACCGCCUGCACCGCCCUCUCCAAAGAGUGCACGGUCGGUCCCCUCGCCUCCAAAGCGAGGUAGUAAGAAGCGGUCCGCCCAAGAAGGACCGAAGUCAUCGGUCCCACCUCCAAAGAAGGCUGCCUCAGCAAAGAGAGCUAAGACGUCAGAAAAAUUACCUUACGAAAAGAGUGAAGAGAAGGUAAUUGCUACAUCUAAAGCUGAGGUCCAACAAUUUUUUGAUAAAAUAAAGGAGGAUAGGAAAAAACGGCUUAACCCAGAAAAGCCGUACUUUUAUGUGAAGCCAUCGGAACUGAGGCAGAAGGUGGCGGACCAUCAAAAGAAGCAACGCGAAGCUCAGAAAAAGCCAGCACUUUCGGACUAUGAGCGGUCUCUGGUCAAGUCUUCACAGAUACUAAGAAGAGAGUAGGAUAGGGGGUCCCACAGCUCGGAGAAGUAUCAAAACCGGUGCCCCCUUUGAUUGUGCCAAAUCAAUACGGCUCAAAUGAAGACUUGAUGCCAAAGAAAUCCUUAGCGUUGUCUGAGCUAGACUCGCUUGAGCGUUACUUUGGACAGAGCGGUUUAAAUAUGGAAGAAAUUGCCGCCAUUCUUGGAUGCCAAACAUUUGAAAAAGCCGAGGUAGUUGAUCAAUGGAGGGCAAGAUAUGAACCGGGCAGGAGUCUAUUCGACCCUAAGCGUUUACACGAACUCGGCACACAAAUGUUUGCAAUAAACAAAUGGUGCAUUGAGGCGUCUAAAAGGGGAGAUAAUUGGAUUUCUGUUCGUAUUAGACAACAUCACUACUUCCGUGGAGAUGACCUCAUAUACGUGCAGUUCGAAGAAUUGCACCAAUUAUGCCACCUCGACGCUUUUGACAAGUCUCUUGUCAGCUGCUUUUUUCUGUAAGUAUUUUUUUCUUUUUAUUAUACUUCUAACUUCUUUAAUUACAUGUAUAUAAUCCUUACGCACUUAGGAUUUGUAUGUAUAUAUGCAGGCACCAAAUGAGAGAGCUCAGAAUGAGAAAUGACAAUAGUAUUGGGUUCGUUGACCCUUAUAUUGUUUUCAAGGCUCCGCAGGCAGUGUGGACAGCAGAUCAUGAGACAGAAGUCUGCACCAAUCUUAUGAUUGUGAACCAAAAAUAAAAACAAAAAAUACUCUUCCCCUUCAACUUCGAGUGAGUUAUAUAGUUAUUAUGUGCAUGCAUAUUUUAUUUUACAUUAUAGGACUGACUAUAUAUAUAUGUGUGUAAACAGCUUUCACUGGAUACUCAUGGUCAUUGAAAUUCCCAAGAACCGGUGAUAAUCUUUGACUCAAUGAGAAAACCACAAGAAAAUUAUCAACAAAUGGUAAACAUUAUUCAAAGGUACGUAAUGUCGAUCUCAGCUACAAAAAUAUCAUAAUAUGACUCUGUAAUUAUUAGUUCACGAUCCACAAUGGCUGUGUAUAGGGUUUGGGAAAGAUUCAUUGACUGUGAACAUCUCAGUGGAUGUAAAGCGCCGCUUAACAUAAUACAUCCACAAGUAAGUUCUACUAGCUAACAAACUUUCGCUAACUUUUAGCCUUCUUAUUGUCGUGGUCGUGAAUAUUUUUAUAUAUAUAUCGUACAGUGGUGUUUAAGACAAGAAGGGGGGAACAAUCUAUGUGCAUAUACGUGUGCAAAUUCAUGAUGGCACAAGUCAAUCAAACACCCACAGAGACGCUCAGAGUACGUUACAUGUCUCUUUUCAUUAUCUCCUGAAUUAUAUUGAAUAACUUAGAUAACUAAUACCUUUUUUAUUUAUUUCAAAUUAAAGACGGAAUGGCUGAGGGAAAAGGUCCUACAACAAGACCGAAUCAAAGCUAUCCAAGAGACGAUAGCAGGAUUUCUCCGCGACCAAGUGAUCAAUCCAAAUGGCGAGUUUCACUUCAACGGCAACGAAACUCUUAUUCCAAACAACGAUGAUCAUUUGUAUCGUUUGUAGACAUUGGGAGAAAAAACUCUAUGUAUAUAUGUGUUACGAAUUUUGUACAUAUAAAACUAUAUAUAUAUAAAGCUUUUUACAUAUCUAUUUAAUUUUUGAUGUGCUCUAUUCAUUUUAUUAUAGGCAAAGCUUAAUUAUUAAGCUAAGCCUAUAAUUUUCAUUUAUAUAUGCUUAAUAUGCGUGUAAUAUAAAUAUAUUAUUGUAUCAGCAAAACAUGUAUUGAAAAACCUAUUAUUAUAUAUUAUAUAUAAACAAUAAACAGAACCGAAGAAGUGAACCAAAAAAAAACCCUUUAACAUCGGUUGGUAAUACCAACCGGUGUUAAAGAGUCCUGCAACGUGGCAGCCCUGGCAGGACCCUUUAACACCGGUUGGUAUUACCAACCGGUGUUAAAGGGGGGCCUUUAGCCCCGGUUGCCAGAACCGGGACUAAAGGGUGGGCCUUUAGUCCCGGAAGGGCAGCACCGGCUCGGAAACCGGAGCAACAGGCCCUUCCCGACCGGUGCUAAUGCCCGAUCAUACAGCAGUGGUAUGUGUGAGCUGAUCGUGGGAUUGACAGAGUGAACUCAAGAAUUAAUAUGAGGAUGAAGAUGGCUUCGCCGACGACGUACGUACUCAGCAGACAAGCACCGGUGAUUGCAAUGGUCUCCGACGGCGAAGUCGCCGUCGUCCCUCUCUCCUCACACCCUGCAGGCCCCACAGGGCCACAGGUAGACUUUGUGUUUCUCCAGUCAGCAAAGGUGGCUUCUUCUUUUCUUGGAUGAUCCGAGGCCCAAAAUGUGCAUGGGAGAAGUCGACACACUCGACGCCUAGCUGACUGCCGUCUGCAGCGGGCGGGCGCCGGGUUGGACUUGGGUUUGCAUGCCUGCUCGGCACUUUAUCCCGUGAUUUUCAGGGUUUCAGGAGAUGGAAUUACAAGUUAUUACGUUCGCAAUUCCGUUCUGCAGGUAUACAAAUCUUUCUUAGCAUAUCACCUUUGUUUUAUACUUCUGUCUGAAUGGACAUCUGUCGUAUCAAAAGUACCGUCAUUCAAAUUGAAUAAUAAUAAUAAUUUUCCUGUCAAAAUUUGAAGCUUGUUCUUAUUCCUCAACAAGUUGACAAGUAAACUGCAAAAAAAAAUGAAACCUUGGAAAUGCUGCUACAAAAAUAAAAAAAUAAAAAGAUACAUCAUAUUUAUUUACAUUGUAACCUGGACAAGACGAGUGCGAGCUACCGAAACAACAACCAAGCUACUCAAGCUCAAAUGCAUCAACAAACGCACGUAAUAGUCGUACAAACAUUUCAUGAAAUUGCAUAUUAUGUAGUAUAUAUGUGGUAUAAGUACUUUGCACUUUUUAGGUGGCCCGAUGAUGAUUAGCAGUUCUAUCCAAGAAAAAUUAAUAUACUUUAGUCAAUUUUUACAAAAUUAAAUCCGUUCUUAUUAUUGGUGGGAAUAUAAUAAUAGUAUUUUACAAUCUAGCUAGUAUCAUCAAAUUCCAGUCAAGUCAUAGCUAGUAACAAUCAAAUUCUAGUCAUGUCAUAGCUAGUUACCAUCAAAUUUCAGCCAAGUCAUAGCUAGCUACCAUCAAAUUUCAGUCAAGACAUAGCUAGUUACCAUCAAAUUUGAGCCAUUCCAGUCAAUUCAUAGCUAGCAACCAUCAAAUUUCAUCCAAGCUAGUCAUAGCUAGUUACUAUCGAAUUUCAGUCAAGCCAUAGCUAGUAACCAUCAAAAUUUAGUCAAGUCAUGGCUAGUUAGCAUCAAAUUUCAGUGAAGUCAUAGUUAAUUAUCAUCAAAAUUCAGAAAGGCAUGGCUAGUUAUAAUCAAAUUUCAGUUAAGUCAUAGCUAGUUAUCAUCAAAUUUUAGUUAAGACAUAGCUAGUUAUCAUCAAAUUUCAGUCAUGUAAUAUCAAGUUACCAUCAAAUUUAUAGCUAGUUAUUAUCAAAUUUUAGUCAAGUCAUAUCAAGUUAACAUCAAAUUUCAAUCAAGUUGAUGAGGACAUCACUCUUUUGGAUGCGCCCGCUCAUCCUCCAAGCUCGAAUACGGCAACUAAACUUAGAGGUGAGCUCUUUUUAAGCGAUCUUUUUCAUACUUUUGAGAAUAGAUUACAUCCUAAUGAUGUUAUCUUGCUUAGGAACAUUGGAGAGAGUCAUGAAGAACUUGGAGGAAGGUGUGGAGGCAUAAAAUACCAGCAAGGACGUCCAACACAAGCUGGAGGGCGCACUCCAACUCGACUUUGAGUCUACCUCGGCCUUCAGGACCAGUCUGCAAUAAAACAUACGCCCAGGAUAUAUUAAGACUCCAUUUUCAAGGAUGCACAUAUGGAUAGAAAGAUGAUUUCAUAACCUAACCAAUGGUUUUGGUUUGAGACCCAAAUUUGUCGGGAGUCAAUUGGAAUUUUCGUAACAAGGAAGUGUCCAAAAUUUGUCAUGUGUUGCGCCAUCGCGUUUGGUCUGUUGGGCAGUAUAUAGGUUUUGGGCUCAUUAGGGUGAGCAACGACGCUUAGACCUUAUAAUCAGUCGUCGCUGUCAUCAUUAGGUUUUGGAUUUUGAAUAUAUCAAUUUGUCUUUGACAGUCACCGAUUUUCGUUUUAUAGACCCACAUAUUGAAAACUUAAUCAUACAUCUAAAGUUUGUCCCAUUCUUUGAGUUGUGUACUUUUGAAUUCUUAUUUGUGUUCUUCAUUUGAAAGGCAGAGAUUAGCCUUCUUAGCAAGGUCAACUAGAUUGGUGAUACGGUUGAUAAUUAGAGGAGUCAUGGUGCUAAGAUUGCAGAGUUUGGGUCUUUCGAUCUAAAGCUGGAUCGGUGUGGUAUGCUCCACGAAAAUGAUAGUUAUCAUCACCUGUUGGAAGAUUGGGAACCCCACUUUCUAUCAAAUGGUAUCAGAGCUAAGGUAUAUUGUCAAGUUCGCAUAUAUCUCCUAUUUUUUUAGUGUUUUAACUUCGUCUCAUAGUGUAGUGCCACACUUAUUUUCUUGUCCUAGAACCUUUCGAGUCCCCUUGCAUAUUUUAGUAUCAAAGUCCUCAUCACAAGUCAUAGCUAGUUAUCAUCAAAUUUUAGUCAAAUCCUAGCUAGUUGUCAUCAAAAUUUAGUCAAGUCAUAGCUAGUUAACAUCAAAUUUUAGUCAAGUCAUAUCAAGUUACCUUCAAAUUUUAGUUAAGUCACAGUCAUUUGUCAUCAAAAUUUUGUUAAGUCAUAGCAGUUAUGAUCAAAUAUCAGUCAAGUUAUAUUAAGUUACCAUAAAAUUUCAAUCUAGUCAUCGCUAGUUAUCAUCAAAUUUCAGUUGAAUCUGAUGAUUGAAUCUCACCCAGCCAUAAUAGUUGAAUAUGAUCUGCCCUAACCCUAGCAAUUGAAAUAGCUAUACCUUCUUCUCACAUUUGGGUUUUGUGGCCAUCGCAGGCCUUUUAAGUAGCUCCUUCGCCGCCUCACCUUUGCCCCACCCGGUGGCAGAGGUUGCCAAUGUUGCUCCUUUGCCCCACCUAGCAGCACGGAUCACCUAUGCCGCUCCUUUGCCCUACCCAGUAGCAAGGGUCGUCGAAGCAGAUCCAUUGCCUUGUUCGGUAGCAGAGGUCACCGACACCGUAGAUCCAUUGCCCCACCAAGUGGAAUGGGUCCUCGACACCGCGUCGUUGCCCCACCAAUGAUGGCGGAUGACUCCCCAUACCAUUGCCUCACCUAGCGACGGUAGACAACUCCCCCAAGCUCCACGCCCUUAAGGGCGAGGCACAUCAUGAAAGGCUUCACCUCCUCGUCGGAGUCGAUGAAUUAGUGAGGAUGUCAUUCUAGUUUUCCCAUCUUGUGUGUAUAUAGUUCAUCAGGGUGAAGCACUAAAGGGUCGUUUGGUAUGGAUUUUGUACUAGCUCUAGGAGCAGUUGGGAGCACUUCCUUAAUAAAUGGUAAAGAGGAAACAACUUUCCAUGGAGCCAUAGAAAAUCCACUGACAGAAGGUGUUGGCGAUGGAUGAAGUCGAAAAAGUGAUCUUCUUGCGACUCCCUCGUCCUUGCUUGUGGGCUAGACCCAAAAUACCCUCCACGCGUGGGUGAUGCAUGCUAGCUCUGGGUCACCGAGGUGAAUGGAGGUCGGACGGAGUAGCAAGGCUAGGGCUCUAGGUCAUUGGAGGCUAGAUGUUGGGCCAUGCAGGCACUGGCUCGCCAAAGGACGACGGUGCCCAACGCUGCCUCACCGGAGGCAAGAGCGUGGAAGGGAGCUUUCGCCAGGGCACCAUAGGGGCACACAGGCACCGGCUUUGCCUGAGGAUGGAGUGUGGGGUGCCCAACGCUACCUUGCAGGAGCCAAAGCGUGUGCGCGGAAGUGGAGGUAGGGCUUGCAUGGGCGCGGACUCAUCGGGCGCUCAAUGCAGGGAGCAGCAGCUACCAAUGGCGUACGGAGGCAAAAUGAAUAGAUAGAUGAAUAGACGGUCAAAUAGAUGGCUACGUAGGAGAGGAAAGAUGAACAGCCAGUCGAAACAGAUAGAGAAAAAAAAUAGGAAAGGAAAAAAAAAGAAAAAUAACAGUGUUACGAACGUUUCAUUCUUUUAAAAAAAGAGAAGUUAUUUUACCAAACAGUCUAGAAAACUAGACCACCUCGCAUAGUAAACUCCUGUUUAGUCACCCAAAAACUAAAGAUUUUUCAAGAUUCUCCAUCACAUCGAAUCUUGCGGCACAUGUAUGUACAUUAAAUAUAGACAAAAACAAAAACUAAUUGCACAGUACUGUAAAUCGCGAGAUGAAUCUUUUGAAUGAGGCAAAAUCUGUUACGCACGCGAAGUAAUAAGUGAAAUUGUUUUGAGGCCAUAGCUCGACGGGGCUUGUGCAUGCCGGCCGCCCAGCCCUCUGAAGGAACCUUCUUAAAUUCCGGUCUGCCUUGCCACACCACACCAACUUCCAAACUCAGUCGCUCCAUCAGUCGAUCCCCCACAAAUUUGAGCAGCCAAAAUGAGCAUCAAGUCAGAAACCAAUGAGCGUAGCAGCACAAUCCAGAGCGCCGGCCACCGGAUAUGCAGCAUCGUCAAGCUGUGCUACCAACACCUGAUGCUGGCGGUCUCCUACGCACUCUACCUCUUCCUGGCGCCCAUCAUCCUUGCCACACUCGUGCUCCACCUCUCACGACACACUAGCGCUGACGAUGACCUCAUCGUGUCCGCACGCUCCACGCUCACCGCUAAUCUGCCCUUCACCGUCGUCGUCGUCGCCGCCGCCGCCACUGCCGUCUACCUCAUGCGGCGGCCGCGGGCCGUCUACCUGCUAGACUUGGCGUGCUACAAGCCCGGGGCGGAGCACGCGGUGACCCGGGAGACGUUCAUGCGGCUUGUCGUCGGGUACGGGACCUUCUCCGACGACAGCCUUGCUUUCCAGCGCAAGAUCCUGGAGCGGUCGGGACUGGGGCAAGGAACCUACUUGCCCAAGGCCCUGACCAGCUCGCCGCCCAACCCGUGCAUGGCAGAGGCCCGCCGCGAGGCGGAGGCUGUCAUGUUCGGCGCCGUCGACCAGUUGCUUGCCAAGACUGGCGUCCGCGCCGGCGACAUCGGGAUCGUCGUCGUCAACAGCGGCCUCUUCAGCCCCACACCGUCGCUCUCUGCCAUGAUCGUCCACCACUACAAGCUCCGCCGGGACGUUUCCAGCUAUAACCUCGCCGGCAUGGGCUGCAGCGCUAGCCUCAUCUCCGUCGACCUCGCCAAGCAGCUGCUUCAGGUUUACCCAAUGAUGAUUGAUGAUUCUUUCCCUCGAUCUAGCUAAGGCCUGAAACUGAACGACGAUGGGUGUUUGUUUCUUCCUGAUUGCCUGCCUUUGCAGGUGCAGCGGAACACCUACGCUCUGGUCGUGAGCCUGGAGAUCAUGGCGGCCAGCGCGUACGUCGGCAACACCCGGUCGAUGCUCGUGCCCAACUGCAUCUUCAGGAUGGGCGGCGCCGCCGUGCUCCUGACCAACCACGGCACGGAGCGGCGCCGGGCCAAGUACCAGCUACUGCACACGGUACGGACGCACCAGGGCGCCGACGACCGGGCGUACCGCUGUGUGUACCAAGAAGAGGACGAGUCCGGGCACGUAGGGGUGGCGCUGUCCAAGGACCUCAUGAGCGUGGCUGCCGAGGCGCUCAAGACCAACAUCACGACGCUGGGACCGCGGGUGCUGCCCAUGUCGGAGAAGAUGAAGAUGAUGCUCGUCGGCGGCAAGGCGGCGGUGGUGCAGGUGCUCGGCGUGCAGCAGCAGGGCCAGGGCGGCAGCAGGAGCAGGCCCUAUAUCCCGGACUUGACGACGGCGUUCGAGCACUUCUGCAUCCACGCCGGCGGGAGGGCGGUGCUGGACACCGUGGAGAGGAGCCUGGACCUCAGCGCGUGGCACAUGGAGCCGUCACGGAUGACGCUCUACCGGUGGGGGAACACCUCCAGCAGCUCGCUGUGGUAUGAGCUCGCCUACACGGAGGCCAAGGGACGGGUGCGGCGCGGCCACCGCGUGUGCCAGAUCGCCUUUGGGUCAGGGUUCAAGUGCAACAGCGCUGUGUGGCGCGCGCUGCGCACCAUUGAUCCAGCCAAGGAGAGCGCCGCCGCCGGGAACCCGUGGGUGGAGGAGAUCCACAGGUUCCCCGUCGAGGUGCCUCAGGUAGAGAGGGUCGACGUCGCCGCCAUGGCGUCCUGACUACAGCGUGGGAGCGCGAUCGACGACUCUGGUUGCGUUAGUGGGUCAACUUCAAGAUUGGCUAUAUAUAUACGUACUCCGGUCUGAGUUAUAUAUAAGAUGCAAUCAAUAAAUCUGUACGAUUAGUUGGAGAGUGUUAUACGUGUGUCUACGUGUCUAUUAGAAAAAAAAACAAUACUUUUAAAAAAUUUGUCCUUUUCUCACGGCAAGUGUGUUGUACUGUGCUACCCUAAAUAUUUAUCGUUUUCGCUUUUUAUAAAAAUUUUUUGAUUAAAUAUUUAUUAAAAAUAUUAAUAUUUAUAAUAUAAAAUUAGUAUCAUUAGAUAGAUAUUUAAAUCUAAUUUUUGAAUAAAUUUAUUUCAAGUUAAAAUAUACGUCUAAAAAUUUUAUGUGACGGGGAAUCUGAAAAAUUUUAUAAAUUUUUUUGGGACCUAAACAAGGCCCAGCACCCUAGACUACUCAUGUGGUCACUUUGCCUCUCACGUCACCUUGCCCAUGCGAUGCGCAGCCUGACCCUUCUCUCUCUCCAUGCAUACACACUAUGGUCUGACCUUGUUUAGAUUCAAAAACUUUUUAGAUUUUAACACUGUAGCAAUUUUGUUUUUAUUUAAUAAAAAUUAUCUAAUUAUAAAAACUAGGUUUAAAAGAUUAUAAUUAGUGCAAUUUACAGACAAUGAUUACCACAAAUGAACGAAAGUGCCACCAAGGAACGCAGAGAAAGUAGGAGGUGGGCCGUUUUGUCAGACAGGGAGCACCCCGCCAUGAUGCGCGGCGAGGUUGCCUCCCGCCAUGAUGCGUGGCGGGAUACUCUUUGCCACGUACUCGUCCACGUGUUAGCCACGUCAGCAGGUGUCCCCUGAACCAUGCCACGUCAGCAGUAGUACUCCGCCGCCAUGCAUUGCGAGAUUCUGUGUAUUUACCCCGCCAUGCAUGGUGGUGGGUCCAAACAGCCUAGUUUUGAAAAUAUUUUUAUAAGCAGAUCAAAUUUAAAAUAUGUUUUAAAUUUGGGCUAAAAAUAAAAAAAUCCCAAAAACUCAUGUACGACGGUAAUAACAAUGGUAUGCCGGUAUGCCACCUUUUUUCUUUUCUUCCAUUAAAUCCCCAGGUACGACGGCUGUGGCGGUUAGCUACUAAAUGGAGUAGUAGUACCUCUUCAUCGUCGUGUUCAUCGUGAGUUCUUCAAGUAAUCCUAGUCUUGUUUUGGAACGAUCCAAGGUUUUACCAUUUUAAGUUUUUAACUACUGUAUGUAUGUACUACAUCCGUCCUAAAGAGAUCCUGUUCUGAGUUAACUGAUUUAAGUUUGUAAAAAAGAUUAUUAAUAUUUGUGAGUUCAAAUGAUUAUCUAAGGAGUAUUUAAAUACUUCUCGUUUAUAUAUGUUAGUUAAAAUUAAAAAUUGCUUGAACUUUUUUUAAAAGAAAAAGAAUUGUUAAUCGUUUAGAGGAGGGAGUCCUGUAUUUUGCUCAAUCAGUGUUGGAAAAAAAGGAAAAAAAAAAGGAUAUAUGUCCUUCACUUCCUAAAAAAAUAUAUCACAGAUGCAAGUACUCAACUUCAAGCAUAUGGAGUACCUUAUAAACACACACCCAAACCAGAACAUUCAAGAGGUCGGACUGGCACAUCCUUGGAUUGACGAAGUAAUGUGGUAUUGUCUACGUAUUAACCAAGCAUGUGUUUUUAAUUAUGCUUUGAUAAUUUUAAUUGUAUAUAUGAAGACCACAGUUAAGAAAUAGACUUAGGUAAAUCUCAAUCAAUAUAUUGAUUAUUUUUAGGAAGUUGCACACGCUGCUAUUAGAGCAAUUGAGAUCAAGUACAACUCAUAUGUAAUCUAGAAGAUAGCUCCUCCAACGAUGGGUUGCUGCCACGAUAGGGCAGGGUUUAUCAACGAUAUCUGGUUGAAUGGCAACAAUUGUUGCUGCUGCAGGAAGGUAGCAACCAAAGGGUUAGCAACUGCCAGUGGGUUAACUGAAAGCAACUGCUGUUGUUGUAGGUAUGCGGCUAUGUUCGCCACAGCCAGUUGGUUGAAUGAAAGAAGUUGUUGUUGUUGCAAGUAGGCAGCAAGGUUCACCAUGGCUAGUUGACUUAGCACUGGUAGGAUAUGUUGUUACUGCAGGUAUGCAGCGGUGUUGGCCACAUCAAGUGGGUUGGAUACAAGCUGUUGUUGUUGUUGUAGGUAGGCAGCGGAGCUCACCAUGGCUAGUUGGCUGAGGCCUGAUAGGCCCUGUUGUAGUUGUUGUUGCUGGUAUGCAACAGCGUUUGCGAGAGCCAGUGGGUUGGAUACAAGCAGCUGUUGUUGCAAGUAGGUGACGGGGUUGGCCAUGGUUAGUUGAUUGAGUGAUGGUAGAAAUUGCUGUUGUCGCUGCGCUGCGAUGGUCUGUACCGAUAGAUGGGCCGAGGAUUGUUGUUGCAAUUGGACAAUUGGUUGUUGCAAGAUGCUCGCUGCAAGCGCUUGUUGUAGCCUGUAGGCCUGCACAACUGGGUGUUCGUACCCUAUAGGAGUAACUGAUGCCAGGAACUGCGGAAUAAUAGCAUUAGGAGCAAGUGAGUACCGCGGAAUAAUAACUGCAGUUGUAGCGCUCACUGAAAGAGCAAGGAGCACAAGGAGGGAAAAUAACUUAGUAGCCAUUGUUGCGAGGACGUUGCUAGUUCGUUUCACUUGGUGUGUUUCUAAUUGCUCUAAAUGUUAUGGGCGAUGGAUUAAAUACUUAUUUGGGGCCUAUUUAUACAAGUGAGAGCUCAUAUAUAUCUGUUUAGAUUAUGCCUUUUAUCAAUAGCAGAUAAACUAUAGAUGAUAUGCCACCUAGUAGAUUUCAACAUUUAGUUAUCAAUUUCAUUAUUGGAUUAUAUGGUCUGUAUAGUAAAGACAAUUUUUGCUUUUGCCAAACAGCAGAUAAGCUAUAGGUGACAUGGCACCUAGUCGAUUUUGAUAUUUUCUUUUCAGUUUCAUUGGAUUAUGUGGUCUGUGUAGGAAAGACAAUUUUCACUACGUACAAGGAAAAAGUGUCAUUUUCUAUUGGGAUUUUUUGAUACAUGAGCAAUGACAUGCAUGAUCACUUCACUAUACACAUGCUAUAGCCUUAGUCAUAUUAUAAAUGUUGCACUUUAUAAACAUGAUGAGUAUGUAAAGUUAUGACUUGCUCAUGUAUAUCAAAGUCUUUAUCAAAAAACUUUAUUGUAGCAUUGUACUCAUGAUUAAUGCUUGCACGGUAGUUAGGUGAGAGUUAUUCAGAGAUGAAUGUGCAAAUCAACAAGAUCGAGAAUAAUUGAAAUCCCAGGAUGGACUCAUGUCAGUAAUGAACUUCUUAAUUUUUUAGAUUUAACAUUAUAAAGCAUGUCCUUUGUCACAUGCUACAUAGAAGGAAAUUGCAAUCCAAUGGACAAACUAGGAGUAGAAUGGCACUCUAGGUGGAUUUUGUCUACAAAAUUGUAGGAUGAUGAUGGCCGGUUGGUACUUCAAUCUUAGGGCUUUACUUUUGGAUUUAGAUAGCCCAAAUCAAAUUAUUAUGUUAGUGGGUGUGGUGUCCAGUGGCGCGGCUAUAUGGUGGUCUAGGUGCUCCAUAGACCGCCAUAUGCACGGCCCAUCCAAGUCCAAAGAGAGGAAAAUUUAGAUCUCAGCAGCCAAAUUGAUUCCGUCGAAAAUCGAUUUUACGGUAUAGGCGCGCCUCCCCCUCUAUGCCUUACGGUAAUGAUUCCUCUGGCAUUACGAUCUUUACCACAACGGUGCCGUUCAUGGAUUAAUUUAUUUCGUGGAUUGGAUUUCACUUGCCUGUCUAGGUUUCCUUGCAUAUGCUCAGUAUCGAUGUUUUGUAUAAAUAUUUCGCCUUAUUAUGUGGAGCAUCCGCGGGCUGUGGCCUUUGUGUUUCGUGAAUACACGUGAGUGUGAGCUUCAUAUUUCCCUUGCGGUCGACCGGCACCUCUUCAUAUCCCUGUUGUGUUGUGCUUUGUAGCUAUAGAUUUCCAAACGGGCGGCUCGGCCCUAACCUGGCCCAGGCACUAUUCGGCCCGGCCCUAUCGUGUCGUGCCUUGUUGGGCCGUCGUGCCAGCCGUGCCGUGCCAAAUAGGGCCGUCGUGCCCAACCCUCAGCCCAGGCACGGCCCUAUGGAGACUUGGUCGUGCCGUGUCGUGCCGAAGGCCCGUCGGGCCUCCCAGGUCCGUCGUGCCGCCACCGCCUGCAGACGCUGAUGGAGGCGUGCCACUGCCUUAGCCAUGGACCUGCAUCGCGCGCGCAUGCAAGAGGAUGCGCAGCCGCCUCAGCCGCGCCUCGUCGUCUCCACGCCGCCGAGCCACUCCUCGCGUUGUCAUCGUCGCUGCAGCACCGCCGUCGUGGCUUCGCCUUGAGAAGAAGAUGAGUGGGGGAGGAGAGUGGCCUUGGAUUCGAGCCUCCGAGAGGCUUCUGUGGACUGCGUCGGCACUCGUGAAGUCGGCAUCGGGAGUUCAGGACGGGAGGAGCAGGGAGGAAAAAGAACGACAGUUGGGUGAAAAGAAUAAGAGAAAGUUGCUUUUAUACCUAGCUUAGAGAUGUUCUCAGUCAAUCCAACAGCUAGAAAUAGUAGAAAUUAAUCUAACGAAUAAAAAUAAUCGGGCCACUAUCGUGCCGGCCUAUUAAACGUGUCGUGCCCGUGCCGUGCUGUCGGGCCAGACCUUCGGCCCAGGCACGGCACUACGUCGUGCCCGUGCCGGCACUGGCACUAUAAACUUCGUGGCCGUGCCGUGUUAGUGUCGUGCUUUUUCGGACCGUUCCCAUACCGGCCCAUCGUGCUUGGCCCAUUUGGAAAUCUAUAUUUGUAGCAGCGUUGAAGGCAGGCACUGGACGACAAGAAGCACUGCAGCAGCACACGUGACUCACCGAGUUCUCUGCAAUGUCUCAAAACCUUCAUUUAGCUUGCUUGUUUAAUUUAGGAGCCUAGAUAAUUUACUGUUCAAUAAGAUUUGGUUUGGCAGCCGUUAAUUAUAUGUUUUAGACUUUCUCAUAUAUCCUAAUAUUAUAUGUCAAGAAAUAAAGGAGUGUAUACUUAGUCUGCUUUAUCCUAGGGUUGAUAGUUAUUAGACUCUCUUUGGUAUGACUUUUUGUUGGACCCUCUCUACAGAUUUAAUUAAAAACUCUAUGAAAUGAGCACACAUAAGGGUUUCUAAAGCCAUGAACAAUGAAACCAAAAUCAUUUUGGAGCAAAAAAAAACUAAACCACAAAAACAUAUUCUGCAUUUUUUGAGAAACCUAAGGCUCCUCGGCGAUCUGCGCCCUCAGCGGGCCAGCGCACGAGCGCUUCCUCCCAGAGCCUGUGCGCUCUCCUCUAGCGUGGGAAUGGUCUUUUGUGUAGAUUAGGCCCUAUAUGUGUCAAGAGAAGCUAAGAUAAGCUACCUUAGCUUCAUCCCAAUUUAUUCUUUCAUGAGAAGAGAAAAAAAAACAGCUUCACCUAUAAAACUGUUUUGAAAAUAGAUGAUUGGUAAAAAAAACAUCUCAGAACAUCUUGCAACAGCUUAUGAAGCUAUUGUGAGAUAUGACAAAUAGGCCCUAAGUGUGUCCAUAAUUUUAUUAAAUUUUUGUUACCUUGUGUGAAUUUAGAUACGCAUAUAUAGGAGAGAAGCAAUUUCAAGAUUACAUUGUAUUGACUCGGUGUUAAUAUUCUGAUGUUAAAAUCAAUGUAAAGACUUUCUUUAUCAAAAUAAAAUGUGGCCCUGUUCUCAACGAAUAAAUAUUUUUUUUCCUCACAGAAUUUUUAACAUAAGCAUCGCGUAAGCUAAAUUUCAGGAAAACCCGCUCUGCCCAGGUAGUCUGUUGGAGCUUUGCAAGUCUGUCAGUCCGGCUAAUUCACAGUGCGAAUGUCGACAAGAGAACAGGUCACAUGACUCCUCCACUCUGGCCUUGUUUACUUCCACCCAAAACUUAAAAUUUUUUAAGAUUUUUCGUCACAUCGAAUUUUUAAACAUAUGCAUAGAGUAUUAAAUAUAAAAGAAAAUAAAUUUAAUUUUAUAGUUUGUCUAUAAUUUGCGAGACGAAUCUUUGAGUCUAGCUAGUCCAUGAUUGAACAAUAUUUAUCAAAUACAAACGAAAAUGCUACAGUGAGAAACUAAACACGGCCUCUGUGUAAAGCAUUACUGAAAUCAUCAUUUUGGUUUCUACAAUCAGUAUUCUUAGUUUAAUUUUGUUUAUUUUACUAAUUUUGGUUUCUGUGAUCACUUCGUGUAAAGCAUUACUGACCUCUGCCUUUCGAUUGAGGUAAGAAAAGGAGAAGCACAAUUUGGUUUCUGUAAUUAAAACAUACAUUAUUGGGUCAUCUACAGCACAAUUGUCAAGAACACCACUGCGCUAACAAGUAUUCCUCUCAGUUUACAUCUCCCUCAUCAAAAAUCAGUAACAGUUACAUCAUAAGUUAAGCAACUCGUGAAACCUUGUAUAAAUGUAUAAAUAAGAAGAGAAAAAGCUUUGGUAAUUUUGCCUGAAUUGAUCCCAAAAUGUACACUCCCUACCCUGAUUCUGAAAGUCUGAAAACUCUGAAUGGCCAAGCUACCUCUGAUCAUGCAUGUACUCUGAAUUUUCCUAUACAGCUAUAUCAAAUCCAAGAACCAGAGUCCAGAGCAACCACCAAUGUCCAUCGGCCACUAGAUCGCGCACUCCUCCUGGCGGUCACCGCCGCCGGCGUCGCCAUGGCCCUCCAUCGCCGCGACGUGCUUGUCGUGCAUCGCGGCGAGCUCCGGGUGGCCAUACCUCGCCGCAGCGACAGCGUAGCACCCAAGCACAUAACAGAAGGCGAGGAAGACGAGUCCAAAGAACUGGAAGUUGGCGAGCUGCUCGGCGCGCUCCUGCGCGGCGCGCGCAUGGCAGUCGAUGUGGCCGUCGGCGUCACGCGCGCACCCGGCGGGGAGCAUGGGACCGUAGAGCGUGAACGCCGUCUGGUAGAACCAGAGCCCCUGCAGCGCGAUGAGGACGCCCGAGGCGAGGUCCACCGGGAAGCUCGCCGGCAGGAGCGCGCCCAGGACGGUGGCGGCGACGCAGAGCGCCACGAGGACGACGAGGAGGUAGUGGUAGUAGCCUUCGAGACCCAUGUGCGUCGUGGAGUGGAAGUAGAAGAGCACCAGCUCCGCCGUGAACGCCGUCGCCGCUACCAGGCAGAGUGCGCCGUCGGUCAGCGGGAGGUACCUGUGUGUGUUCAUAGACGUUGCAAGUGAAGCAAAUGACAGUGAGCCAUGGCCGUGAAAUGUUAUCAGAUUCACUGAUCUGGUAGCACUACUGAAGAAAGAAUAAAAAUUAUACGGAGGGAAAACAUGAAUUCAGACUGGGUGAUUCAGCUCUUGUACUAUUACACCUGAAUCGCUUAAAAAUUGUUCCUUGAAACUCAUGAUUAUUGCUGCCUAAUGGGGGUACGAAUGCAUGAUUGCUGUGUAGCCAUCUUGGACAAAGAUUCCAAGAUGGCUAUAUGAAACAAAAGGGCAAUAUGAUUACAGGAUAAACAAAACAUGAGCAGGGUAAAGUAUGAUUGCAGGGGUGAGAUCAAUCUGGGCCCCCUGUCCCCAACAGCACUCAAAUGCAAAACAGAGUCAGACUGCACUUGCUACUGUACUUAGCAGCAGUAAGCCAGCAACACACCUGGCCCCACUUCGCACUUGUAAAGUUGGGAUAAAAGGUGAAACAAAAACCUUUCUGUCCAUCUCAACCCAUGUAACGUCAGAUGGCAAAAAGUUUCUCAUCCAUUCAUUCAUCUACCUAAGGACCAGUUAGAUUCUGGUCUGAUGUUGAGGGGACCUAAAAGUAGUGAAGAAUGGACGAGUCCAUUCACUGUUGCAUAAGUUAGCAGCUGCUAGGAGUACUACUAACAUUAAACCCAAUCCUUUAAAUUAAAAAAAAACAUUAAACCUAAAUAUUUCCUCUUUUGUUUUGGACUGCAAAGUCAGUGUGGCCUGAAAACCAAAAAAUUUUCAAAAUUCCCCGUCACAUCGAAUCUUGUGGCACAUGCAUAAAACAUUAAAUAUAGACGAAAAUAAAAACUAAUUACAUAGUUUAGCUGUAAAUCACGAAACAAAUCUUUUGAUCCUAGUUAGUCUAUAAUUGGAUAAUAUUUAUCACAAACAAACGAAAGUGCUACAGUACCGAAAAGUUUUCACUUUUCGCAACUAAACAAGGCCGUAGAUGGAUUUGCAGUGUGCUAGGCAUCACCGCAUCAGGCAAGUUGGACCAGCAGCUCAGCUCUUUGUGAGCUGGAUGGACCACAUGGCCGAUGCCGCCUCAUGGCUGGGCCAGCCAGGCAUUCCCCGGCCGGCGAGGAGAGGACGACGAGUGGAGCCCGUCAAGAACAUACACUAAUCCAAUCCAGAUGCGGACGCCGCAAUAGUCAAAAACCAUCCGAAGAUUCGUACUACGUGCCCGCCACCCAACUAAUCCAACCAUCCAACUGUCUGAUGGUGCUGAUAACAAUGGCAUGAUUCCACCUUUUUCUUUUUCUUUUUUUCUUAUUUGGGCCUUGUUUACUUCUACCUCAAAAUUAAAUAUUUUUUAAGAUUCUCCGUUACAUCGAAUCUUUACUCGUAUACAUGGAAUAUUAAAUAUAAACAAAAAUAAAAACUAAUCAUAUAGUUUGGUCGAAAAUAACGAAACGAUUCUUUUAAAUCUAGUUAGUUUAUAGUCAAACAAAAAUAAUACGCGAAAUUUUUCAGAUCACGAGAGAGAGAAAAAAAUACAUGUACGACGGCCGUGUGGCAGUUAGCUACUACUAAUAAAUGCUAGUGAUGUACUACCUGUUCUUCAUCGUGUUCAUCGUGAACCAGCAAAUCAUAUUCUCGCUUUAGAACCAUCCAAAGUUUUACUAUAAUUUGUAAACUUUGCUGAUCCCCAUGUUUUGUUGGGAACAAAAAAAAAAUAAAAAAGACGAGGUUUUUAGGCAAAAAAAAAUCGGAUCUUGAUCACGCCGGCGGUGCCGCCGACGUUGACGUCGAUGGGACACGUGAUUGAAAGAAGCAAGAGGAGGUCGUUGCCCGGCGCCGGCGGCGGCGGUGACCGACGACAGACGACGACGACGACGGACGGGUAGAGGAGGACAGACAGACCGACCUGGGCCAGAGCUGGGAGGCGAGGGCGAGAGCGCCGAAGAGGAAGAACAUGAGGAGCAUCCCGCCGUGCUCGAGGUCGUUGAGGUGCGCCGGGUUGACUUCCCCGCCGUCGACGAAGAUCCGGAGGUGCGUGGAGUAGAGCACCUCCACGCACAUGUCCGCGAACGCGCCCCCCGCCACCACGUAGAGCUCCAGCAGCCGCAGCGGCGAGGAGGAGGUGGUGGUGCGCACGGGGUUCCAUGCCCGGACGCGGAACGUCGACGGCGACGCGGCGUGUCGCGACGCCGAGCACCAGACCCGCCAUAGACCCACCAGCAGGAAUAGCGUCCCCGGCAGCACGUGGCCCUUGAACGACCCCAUGGUUGUCCGGCGGCCGGACGGACGGAUGGAUCGGCUGGUCGUCGACUGAGUCGGUCGGUCGGCCGCACCGCACGGCGACGCGCGCGCGCGCACUCCGGCGGCGUUGACCUGCGCGCGUGCGACCCGACCCGACGAACGGGGCGGCCGGGCCCCGAGGAGAGAGAGAGAGAGAGAGAGAGAGAGAGAGAGAGAGAGAGAGGAGGUGGAGGGAGUUGUUGACUUUUCUUGUUCGUCCGCGCUCCGGGAACGGCGGCUUGGCUUGGUUUGCGAUGGAUCGGUGGGCGACGACGCGUGCGUCGGCGACUGUGGGUGGGCGGCGGAGAGAGAGAGAGAGAGAGAGAGAGACUAGAUGGCGGCCACCGCCGAGGCCCGAUCGGACUGAGGUGCAGGUGCUCCGGCGAGCGGGGGGUGUGGGAGGUGCAGAGCAGGGGAGUGAUCAGCAGAUGGAUGGAUGAGAUGCGAUGCUAGGCGUAGCGAAUCAUUGCUUUAUCAUUCAUGGGAAUGGGAUGGGAACCGCAGAAUCAUGAGAGAAGCGUAAAAGCGGAGGGAGGGAAGGAGAUUUGUAAACGGAAGGAGGAGGAGCUUGGGGCACGUACUACGUGCGACGGGGCCCGUUGAUCUCAGCGACAAGUUUGGUCGGUACGGUUCCGUUCCGUUCCAGGCUCGGGCUCCGUCCCUGCCCUGUCCUGUCCUGCUCUGCUCUCUCCCGGAUCCCUCUGUGUGUCUGCUGGUCUCGUUGCAUCCACGACGACGUGGGCCUUUUUUAGUUCAAAUUUUUUUUUUCAAAAUAUAAAUAGUACUACUUUCGUUUGUAUUUAACAAAUAUUAUCCAAUCAUAUACUAACUAGACUUAAAAGAUUCGUCUUGUCAAUUCCGAUCAUAUGCAAUUAGUUUUUAUUUAAUACUUCAUGCAUACGUCUAAAGAUUUGAUGUGACGGGGAAUCUGAAAAAAUUUUGCAAUAUUUUUUGGAACAUCCUUGUUUAGUUCUAAAAAAUUUUGCAAAAUCGAUACUGUAGCAUUUUCGUUUGUAUUUGACAAAAAAAUGUCCAAUCAUGAACUAACUAGGCUCAAAAGAUUCGUCUCAUCAAUUUCGACCAAACUGUGGAAUUAUUUUUUAUUUUCAUCUAUAUUUAAUACUCCAUGUAUGCGUCUAAAGAUUCAUUGUGACGGGGAAUUUGCAAAAUUUUUCAAAAUAAACAAGGCCUUAAACAACGCCGUGGUGGAUUGGGAUUAGCGGCUACAGUGAGAGCUUCCAAAGCGGUUCCGUGAGCGCACGUGGACAGGUAGUACAAGUACAGAUGGGCAGAGGAGGGAGGGAGGCGUUGGAGUUGCUGCGUGACGUGGGUCCGUCCGUCCAUGGAUGCUGCUGCUGCUGCCCGCCUGCUCUGCUCUGCUCCCCUGCUCUGCUGAUCUGCCCACCCCUGCAUGGCAUGCCGUCGGCGCUGCUGCCGAUGGACCAACAGCGGCGGCAGCCGGCAGCGCCGCGUCGGCGAGCGAACGGGGCCCACUGCAGACCACAGUGGCGAAGCGAGAAGAGGUCAUGGGUGCAAAUUUUCACUGUGGGCUUGUUUAGUUCACUUAAAAAAAUAAAAAGUUUUUAAGAUUCCUCAAUCUUUUACGAAGUAUUAAAUAUAAACGAAAAUGAAAACUAAUUGCAUAGUUUAUCUGUAAAUCACGAGAUGAAUAUUUGUCAUAUACAAACGAAAAUGCUACAGUAACGAAAUCCAAAAUCUUUUUCAUUUAAACAUGGGUGCAUUUACACCCCGUGCUUAUAACUUUAGUUUCACCCCUGAUGCAGACGUACGGCCGUUAACAAAAUCUAUCUGUCCAUAUCUAUCCAUUAUAUUGUACUCCGUCCGUCUCAAAAAAACCAAUCGUUAUUGACUUUCAGAUAUUUUAUUUCACUGUUUUAUUAUAACUUUUUAUAUAAAUAUCAUUUAUUUUGAUAUGACUUAUUUGAUCAUUAGAUGUACUUUAAUAAUAAUUUAUCUAUUUUAGAGUUUGCAAAAAAAAAUUAAUAAGACGAGUGGUCAAACAUGAUUGGUCAAAGUCAAAAACAUCAGUCUUUUUGAGACGAAGGGAGUAGGUCUUGUUUAGUUCUAAAAAAAUUUAAAGAUUUUUCUGAUUUUCCAUCACACUGAACCUUACGGCACAUACAUGGAGCACUAAAUAUAGAUUACAAAAUAACUAAUUGUACAGUUUAUCUGUAAUUUGCGAGACAAAUUUUCUGAGCUUAGUUAUUCUAUAAUUGAACAAUAUUUAUUAAAUACAAACAAAAGUGUUACAAUGUCCAUUUUGCCAAAAAAAAUUGGAACUAAAUAAGGUCGUAGUUAAUAAUUAGUACUUACUUCAUAUUAAUAAUAAUAGGUGUCAUGUUAGCUGGACAAUCUAGAACUUACAAAAUUAAUUAAACACAAAAAGAACAGUUACAUUUUAUGAUGAUCUACCAUUGACUAAACCAAAUACCAUAUCUUUAGUACAUUACCAGUACAGUACUAAGUAAACUAAAAUAAAAGAGCAGCCAAGGGCAAUCAGCCUUUCCCGUGAAAAGUUGUUCCCAAGCUGAAACCAACAUGGUCGUAGCAUGGUCAUUAUUGGUGGGCGGAGUGUGGUAGCAGCUCGCUGACGAUAGUGAUGAUUCUAGAAGCUUGUCGUACUAUGGAGACUACAGCGUUAAACCUUUUGUUUUUGGUAUCUUUUGGAUAGGCUUUAGGUCUUGUUUAGUUUUAAAAAAAAUUAGGAUUUUAGUACUGUAGUAUUUUUGUUUUUAUUUGAUAAAUAUUGUCUAAUUAUAUACUAACUAGUCUUAAAAUAUUUAUCUCGUGAUUUACAGGCAAACUAUGUAAUUAGUUUUGUUUUAGUCUAUAUUUAAUACUUCAUGAAUGUACCGCAAGAUUUGAUGUGACAGAGAAUCUUGAAAUUUUUUUGAUUUUUGGAGUGAACUAAACAAGGCCUUAUUAUUUAAAAUGAGUUCUUUAGUUUAUUUUAGGAUCCAGGAGUAUCUAUUUAUAAUGAGUUUAUUUAAAAUGUCACGACCCAACUAUAAACAAACUCUUGGUGCUUGUAAUCAGGGAUGAAAACCAAAAUAAUAAUUUUUGAAAAAAAUUAAGUUUUUAUUUAUUUUCAUGCGUAUAACCAAAAAACAAAAAAUAAUAACAAUACAAAUAAUUAGAAACAAAAUUGAAAAUAAUUUUACCAUGUUCCAGCCAUUUUCGAAGAUUAUCAUAUUUAGCCGGUAAUUUACUGUCGAUAACUAUCGAUUCAAAGGGAUUAAAUUCUAAAGACUAUAAUGCACAUACUUUAGACCCACUUAGCCCACGUCUAAGCAUCUCAUCUGCACACACAAGCACAUAAGACAUUUUUUUAAGAAGGAACUAUACGGUAAGUAUUUCAUCCCUAUAUGAAUAAGAAGGCAAGUAGGCA
rnacentral:lncRNA from 1 species